GUCACUCUUCAAGAGAGUAGAGAUGAUUAUUUCAAAAGUUAUAACAUCAGAUAAACAACCGCUGUCUUCCAUUUUGGACCACAUGGUCAAUGCCUCAUCAAGCAAACCCUUCUUACAAAGACCACUGAUCAUAACUGUAUAAGUACGGAUGUUAGGAUUGUGACCUUUAUUCAAAAGAUCUUGAAAAAUCUCUUGUGCAUUCUUAAGUCUCCCCCCUCUACACAUCCCAUUAAUAAGUAUGGUUGCAGUCCACAUAUCGGGCUGAACUCCAUUCUCACUCAUUUUCCUCAAUAAUUCAAUUGCCUUGUCUAAACGAUUAUUUUUGCAUAAACCAUCAAUCAAGGAAUUAUGAGUGACUAUGUCUGCUUGUUGAUUUCUAUCACGCAUCUCACAAAAAGUAUCCCAAGCAUGAGAGAUUCUUCCAAUUUUGCAUAAACCAUCAAUAAGAGUAGUGUAAGUCACAGUAUUUGGAACUAUAUUCUUUUUCUGCAUUUCCUGAAAAAGAUUUAUGGCCUCAUCUACCCUUUCGUUCCUUAUGAGUCCACUUAUCAUGAUAGUGUAGGUCCAAACAUCAGGACUCACUCCCAUGUGGGUCAUUGCAUUGAAUACUUGUUUCGCAUUCUUUACUUUAUUAACUACAUAAAACCCAUCCAUUAGAGCAUUAAAGCUAAAAACAUCAGGUUUCACAUAAUCUUUCACCAUCACACCUAACACAUUCUUGGCUUCUCCUAGCUUUCUUUCCUUACACAAUGCAUCAAUCAAUAUAUUAUAGGUAUAAACAUCUGGCCUGAUGUUAUUUGAUAUCAUUUCAUUUAGGAAACCAAAUGCUACCUCUACCUGUCCCACUAAGCAAAAGCCAUAAAUUAGAAUACUAUAAGUAAUAACAUCAGGAGAAAUUUCCUUGAUAACCAUCUCAGAAUACAAAUCAUAAGCUUUUUUUGGUUGUUUCUCUUUUAAUAGGGAGUCAAUAACUAUGUUGUACAUUACCGUUGAUCGACCUGGAAUCGUUCUGAGCAAUUUGAUUGCGGCUUCAGUUUCUCCUAUUUUGCUCAAUCCAUUGAUUAGAAUCCCGUAAGUAAAUUCAUCAAGCCGAAAUCCUAGUGCUACUACUUUGUCGUGAAGAUUUAGGGCUUCCUUGAUCUCACCCUUAUCACAUAGACCUCUCAUGAGUGUGUUUAAGGUUAUGGCAUCUGAAUGAUAACCCUGUUUAAGAAUUUUGGCAAAUACAGAGAAAGCAUAACCCAAUUUAUGUAAGUGACAGAAACAAUUGAUGAGGAGGCUGAGAGUAACAAGGUUAUUAUGAAUUCCCUUAAGCUCCAUUUGUUUAAUAAGAGAAAUAGCAGUAGGGUACCGCUUCAUCCUCACAAGAAAUCCCAAAAUCUUUCCAAAUUCGAAGAUGGGAGGAACAUGACGCUGAUGAAGCAAGCGAUUGAAUUGUGAGACGGCUUCGUCGUGUAAGGAAGUUUGAGAGUGAGAGUGAGAGCAAAAGAGGGAAUUGUGGAUUGGAAGAAAAGGAGGAAACUUGGCAAUGGAAGGAAGAAGAUAAACCCUAACACUUCUUGAGAGCCACAUCUUUGCUGCAACAACAAUAGUAUGAAAUUCUUCAAAUUUAGUUUUCUUCCAUUUUAAAAAGUUUAUUCAUGAGACUCUCAAUUUUCUCUUAAUAUCAAAAUUAUAUUUCUAAUAAGUGUUAAAAAAAUAAAUUUCUCUCCUAUUAUCAUCCAACCCAUUUACCACCCAUUUUCAAUCUCACGUUUCUUAAUCUAAGCCUGGCAGUAUCUUUUUUUCUUGUCUCCUUCGUCUUUGUCUAUUUCUACCCACUCAUGUAUCUAAUUUCAUCUUGUGUCUCUCUUUUCCAACUUUUUUUAAUAAAUCAUCAUUGUUAAAUUUUAUUUAUUUGUAAAUGUUUAGUAUAAUUUAGAUGAAGGUAAGAAUAGGAUGAAGUCAUUAAUCAGAUUUCAAAAAUCCAGUAUAUAUCUAUUAGUGUUUUAGCAUUUAAAAUCAAAAUAAGUUAAGAAAAUUGAACCAUAAAUUCCAUUAAACUUAGUAAAAUUAUAAACUCUAAUUUUUUAUUGGAUAAAGAUACUUAGACAACAUUUUUUGACAACAUUUGAACAUCAUCAUAUGUGUUAUUGUGUGAUUGGUUCAUGGUGGUGUCAUUGUGUCAUUUGAACCAAUCACACAAUGACAUGUAUGAUUGAUGUUCAAAUGUUGUCAAAAAAUGUUGUCUAUAUAUCAUUACCCUUAUUGUUAUGUAAACUUAUUAUUAUGUAAACUUAUUAUCAAUUGUUGGAACAUUACAAUACCAUACAAAACAAAUUAUUAUUAAUAUGAAAGUAAAUCAAUUAUUAUUAACUAAUAAAUAUGAAGGAAUAUCCUAAAUUAAAUUAACUAUUUAAAUAAUAUAUUUUAUUUUUCUGAUGAAUUCCGUUAUAAAAAUAAAAAUAAUAAAAGUUGAUAAAUUAUUACUGUAAGGGCCUUAGAAAUUGUAAGGCUGAUGGGCCUAAGUGAGGCAGUCUGGCCCAUAAGGUUAAGGGCAGCAUGGCCUUAGGAGAAAGGGAAACUUCCCUUUUCCAUUUUCUGAUUUCAUUUCACAGAAUCUCCUUUUCUCUCUCUAGAACAAAAUCCCAACUCAAAUGUUCUGUUUUCUCUCUAAAAUUCUAAUAGAUUGAACCGUUGAAUCUUUGUUUUGUUGCUGCAAAAUCAUUCCUGGUGCGGAGAGCUUCGAUUCCCACCGAACAAUUUCUUCAUUUCAUCGGGUAAGUAAAUUUUUCCCUUUCUCUUCACUGUCUUGACUUAGGGCACCCAAUUUUCUGGUUGCAUGUGCUUUUCGUACUUUGCUUUCCCCUUCUCUGUACGUUCUAGCUCUAAAAGGCUGUCUCUAUCACCAAUUUGGUGAUUUAUAGGUGUUGUUGAUGUUCUGUCCUGUGAGGGCCCUGUUAGGAGGUCUCUAUUUAGCUGUACUGUAGUGUGGUUCCAAGUAAGGGGAGCUAACUAUAUAAAUAUAUUGUUUCCUGAUUUGUUUCUGAAUAUAUGUUGAAAUUUGUUGUGUAGUGGUUAAAUCUGUUUCGGUGUUCUAUGUAUGCUAAAUUUAAUUAUGAUUUACUGCUUAAUAUUGAGUUGCUACUGUUUGCGUAUCUGAUUUUAGUAUGUUCUGAACUGUUUUAAAUUGAUUCCCUGUGUUUGGACUUGAUGAUUAUAAUCUGUUUGAAUGGGCUGAAUGUUGGACCUGAAUAUGCUAAGGUAUGUUUUGAGUUGCUGGAAAUUCUAUUGUAUUGAUGAUCUGAUGAGNGGACAUGGGCUGUGUAUAGUUUUAGGAUCUGUGAGGGGAAGUAAGGUACUGAAUUUGGGGUGGUAGAUGUCUAGAACAUCGUAGAGCAACUAGAGGAAUUUCANNNNNNNNNNNNNNNNNNNNNNNNNNNNNNNNNNNNNNNNNNNNNNNNNNNNNNNNNNNNNNNNNNNNNNNNNNNNNNNNNNNNNNNNNNNNNNNNNNNNNNNNNNNNNNNNNNNNNNNNNNNNNNNNNNNNNNNNNNNNNNNNNNNNNNNNNNNNNNNNNNNNNNNNNNNNNNNNNNNNNNNNNNNNNNNNNNNNNNNNNNNNNNNNNNNNNNNNNNNNNNNNNNNNNNNNNNNNNNNNNNNNNNNNNNNNNNNNNNNNNNNNNNNNNNNNNNNNNNNNNNNNNNNNNNNNNNNNNNNNNNNNNNNNNNNNNNNNNNNNNNNNNNNNNNNNNNNNNNNNNNNNNNNNNNNNNNNNNNNNNNNNNNNNNNNNNNNNNNNNNNNNNNNNNNNNNNNNNNNNNNNNNNNNNNNNNNNNNNNNNNNNNNNNNNNNNNNNNNNNNNNNNNNNNNNNNNNNNNNNNNNNNNNNNNNNNNNNNNNNNNNNNNNNNNNNNNNAGAAUUGAAGUAGGACUCCUAAGUCUUAGGAAUGAAUGUUUUAGAGUUAAAUUCACACCUAGGUCAGCUUAGAAUCACUAUAGGAAUAGUUUAAAUUGGUUAAACAUGUUUCAUGUCAAUAUUAGUGUUGUAGAAUUCAAAUUGAACAAGUGGAUAUGUCUAAGAGGUACCAAAACCAGAAAAAUUAGGUUGCUGUCAAAAACUGAUAAGAAUAAUCAAUUAUCUCACUUGAUAAUCGAUUAUUCUAGUCAGAAUGUCAUAUUUUCUUCAGAGUUCUCGUAAAUAAUCGAUUAUUGUUGUCACAAAAUCAUCCAGGACAGUUUUAGGUGGUUUUCGGGGUUCCAGGUAUCAUUUUUGGACGUUCCUUAGAUCGUUCUGGGGGUUUUUACCCUUCCGGAACUAUUGGUGAUGGUUUAAAAGUCAUUUUCCAUGUCUAAGUAUGAGUUCACUGGGUUUUGUGUUGUUUAGUGGUUCUUCUAGAUCUGUUAUUGUUUGGCAAUGAAUGUGGAAUGAUUACAAUGUAAAUUAUGACUGAGGUGAUGUUGUUAACUUGAAAGUAUGUGAUCAUAAAGGUUAUGAAUUGAUGUUAAGUGCAACAAGCAUGGUUCAUGGAUGUAAUUCCAUGAUCCUCAAGGCGAGGAUUCAUGGUGGUGCCCUUAGUGUUUUAAAAUGAAAGUAGGGGCUCAGCCUUGGGAGUCAUUCUGACGCUCCAAUGGUCAAUCAUACUCACUUAGAGAGGUUGAACCAUGUGGUGAGGAGUAGCAGGAGGUCCUUAGUCUUGGGGCUCCCAGUAUGCCUCAAGACCAGGAACGGACUAACCUCGUGAGUGUGGCAGGGUGGGGAACCCAAGUUUCAUAAGUCACCACGGGUGCAAGACUCGCCAUAGCCCGACUAUCAUUUUAAAGUCCGGACGAGUCAGGUCUAGAAAUUAACAUGCUUAGGUUGUGUGUUUUAAUCUGGUUUUGUUUUCAGUCCACGUUUGUAUGGUCACAUGAGUAAUCUGAUGCAUGUUGUCUUAUUUAUAUAAUUAGCUCACCCUUGCUCACUGUUUGUGUAUGUUGUAUGUUUUCCUGUUGCGAUGAUCAUCCAUUUUUGGAUGUGAGCAGAGAAGGAUGAGGUCUCUGUGGAGAACGCUCUGAAAGAUACUGAAGAAGCUAUUGUUUAGUUCUUCUAGGAAUUUCUGGGCUGUUAUGCCUCUUUUGAACACUUAUGUAUUUUGAGAGACUUGGAAUUUCCACGUUUUAAUUUCCUGCAUCUGGAUUACUAUAAUCCUAAUUUAAAUACCUUAAACAUUCUUGACUGCUUUCUAUUAUCAUCUAUGAUGACGUCUUAAUUUAUAUACAUGUAUACUAUAUAAUAGGGAUGUUACAAUUACUACAAUAAUUAAUUAUGGAAAAUAUAUCAUUGAUAUUAUUAUACUGAGUUAUAACAUCAUUAAUAUUAUUAUAUAAGUUCUUAUAUCAUAUUAAUAAUAAAUUAUUUAUAAAUUCUAAUACUUAAAUAUAUUUUAUUAGUAUUUAUUGAAUUUUGAAAAUUUGGUAAGAGUACUAUUUCGAGAUGAAAAAGAAAUAAAUAACAAAUUUUGAGAAAAAACAGAUAACGAAUUUUAAAAUUCGAUCAAUUCUUAUAUUAUAUUAGAUUUCGAAAUAUGGUGUAUAACCAUUAGUGUUUCAAAUUUAUUCAAAAACUUAUUCAUUAUGCGCAUUUUUGAAAGGAUCAUCAUUACUAAAUAAAUAAUAAUAAAUAUUUGUAUUUAGUUUUUAUUAUUCUGUUAAUAAAUAUAAUAUUUAUUAAACUUAGUUAUUUUAAAUGUAAAGUUUUUAAACGGUUUCUAUACUCAAGAUAAACUAAGGAUAAAAUGACUCUAAUAUAAUUCAGUAGGUUAAAUAUAUUUUUUAAGUGUUAUACUUUCAAGUGGUUUUCGUUUUAGUUCUUGAAGUAAGAUAUAUUUUAGUAUUUUUUUUAAGAAAAUUUUGAUUUUAAUCCUACAAAACUAAUAUUUAAAAAAAAAAAUAAAAAAGUUAACCUGGGUGUCAUGUCAAUUUUUUAUUAUUCUGGGUCAAUCGGCCUCUUUCUCCCUUUCUACUCACUUUGCUGAGUCUUCUCUUGAUUCUGUCCAAUUCGGCGUCGUAAGCCUUUAAGAGAAAAAUCGACCAUCCUCAGUGGCACCAUGGCCCCUUCCACAACGUGUUUGAGAGUGGCACCUGGGAAUGUCGCACUGGAUGUUGCCCUUCAACUGGGAGAAGCUAUCGCGAAGCUGGUGGAGGUGGAAGAGCACGAAGGGGUUCUCCUAGCAAUCGAAUUGGAGGAAUGUUAGAAAUAAACAAAACAGGGUUGUUUUCAGUUUCAGUUUAUCAGUUCAGUAUAAAUACAGUUGUAUUCUAUCAUUUGAAUGUUGAAUAAAAUUUUCUGAAGUAUUAAACAGUUACCUGAGUGUCUCUGUAUAUAGUAUCUUUAAUUGUUGAUCGGUGAAGAGCAGAUGUGGUGGCCUGAGGGGGUGUUACGGAUGAACCCUAGCAGAGAGCUUCUUUUCGCCUUUCUCUCUCUAAACAUCUCGACCCUUCUCUGUUUUUUGCUUUCUCUCUCUGUCACGUGUGCCUGUUUUAUUAAAACAUCAGAAAGAUUAGUGGUGUGGGCUAUGACGCUUUUGCCCUCUCUUUUGAAUAUGGUAUCUAAAGCAAGGUUGUGAGGCUUGGGGUGUACGUGAUAGUGGGUGCUGUGUUGAUAUCUGGAGGUGUGUGAAUCCAGAAGUGCAAAAAAGAAGGGUUCUUUAGGUGUAAACAGAUCAAGAUUUAUCAAGAUCAAUGCAAGAAGAGAUGGUUGGAGUUGGAGGAAUUCAGGGGCCACUACCUAUGUUUGAUGGCAAACAAUUUGCUGACUGGAAGAUCAAGAUGUAGGUCGUUUUUGGGUUUCAAGAUGUGUUGGAAGUCAUUGAAGAUGGAGUGCCUGAGUUGAGUGAAAAGGCAACCCAAGAACAGAAGAAGGAACACAAGAUGCUGGAAAAACUGGACAGUAAGGCCAGAUUUUUAAUGUAUCAGUGUGUGAGUCAAAAGAUUUUCAACAAGAUUUCUAAUGCUGCUACAGCAAAGGAGAUCUGGGGUAUCUUGGUGAAAACCUAUGGUGAUGGAGACAGAAACACAAAGGUAAAACUGCAGGCUUUGAGGAGACAGUUUGAAACUCUCAUUAUGGAGGAGAGUGAGACUGUAUCUGAGUACUUUGACAAAGUACAAGAGCUAGUGAACAGGAUGAGGGCGUGUGGUGAUAAAAUGGCAGAUGAAUACAUGGUGGACAAAAUUCUACGAACCUUAACUCCUAGAUAUGACUAUGUGGUUGCUGCAAUUGAAGAAACCAGAAGAAAGGAAGACAUUGACAGUGAGGAGCUGCUACGUUCACUAGAGGCUCAUGAGUUACGUCUCAAUGAACGUAGACAAUGCCAGGAACAGGCCUUGCAGGCCAGAUCUCAGUGGAAAGGGAAAAAAGGUUUCAAGAAAGGGGGUAAAGGAGGUAAGAAAGUGAAAGACUCUCAGGACCAGCAAGGAGAAAAGUCCAGUGAGUCUGGAAAAGGAAAGAAACCAAACAAGGGAGAAGGAGAAUGGAAGUUUGAUAAGAAAAAGGUUAAGUGUUUCAACUGCCAGAAGUAUGGCCACUAUGCUAAGGAGUGUUGGGAUGGAGAAGGGGCCAAAAAUAAACCCAAGAAGAGGGCAAAUCUAGCCCAGGAGGAAGAGUCUGACUCAGAGGCAGUGAUGUUAAUGGCACAGGUUGAUGACAAACCACCAGAAAGUACUGUUUGGUACCUAGAUUCUGGGUGCUCCACCCACAUGACUGGAAGGAAAGACUGGUUUGUGAAAAUGAAGGAAGUUGAGCAGGGAAGAAUCAGGUUUGCUAAUAACAGCAGCCUGGAGGCAGAGGGAUCUGGCAGAGUGGUGUUAAGGGGAGAAGAUGGCAAGGAAGUGAUCAUUGAAGAGGUACUGUAUGUACCUGGAUUGAAGACUAAUUUGCUUAGUCUUGGGCAGCUCUUGCAGAAAAAAUAUAAGAUAAAGAUGGAGGACAAUUUCUCAGCAUCCUAAAUCUGAAUGGGAAGGUAGUAUUGCAGACACAACUGUCACAGAACAGAACUUUCAAGGCUGUGAUGGAGGCAGUAAAUCAUCACUGUUUUACUGCAGCAGAGGGUGAAGAAGAAUGGUUGUGGCAUCUCAGGUUUGGGCAUCUUAAUUUCCAAGAUCUAUCAAUGCUAAGUCAGAGAAAAAUGGUGAUUGGCUUACCAAAGGUAGAUAUUCCAGGGACUGUUUGCAAAGAAUGUGUUCAAUGCAAGCAGACCCGUGGCAGUUUUCAAAGGUUCUUACCCCAGAAAUCUGCAGAGAAGUUGGGAGUGAUAUAUUCGGAUGUCUGUGGCCCUAUGCAGGUAGAAACACCUGGUGGUAGCAGGUAUUUUCUGUUGUUUAUAGAUGAAUGGACCAGAAAGUGUUGGGUCUAUCUAUUAAAAAGGAAGGGUGAGGUGCUGCUACAAUUCCAAAAGUUUAAGAAUAUGGUUGAAAAACAGUGUGAGAAGAAGGUGAAAUACCUCUCUUUCUUUUUAACUUAGAAUUGAAUAUCUUUCUUUUUUAAUAUAUGAACAAUUAGUUGUAUGAUCAUAUUAAUAUGUUAAAUAAUGUAGUUUAUUUUAUAUAUAAUAUUCAGUUUUAGUUAAUAUUAUUUAAUUGCCUAUAUGGUUAAUAAAACAAAUUUUAUCAUGAUCCCAUUUUAUUACAAUCAAAAGCUAAAAAAAAAAAAUUGUACACAUUUCCUUCGGUUUUGGCAAAAUUCUGGUUAUUUUCGGCGGUUUUGGAAAAAACCCUGCUAAUUUCGACGGUUUUGGAAACCUCUCGCUAAUUCCGGCGGUUUUGGAAAACUCCCGCUAAUACCUUUGGUUUUUGCAAAACCUCCGUUAAUAGUAACACAGCUUUUCCUAGUGGUUUUCUCUAGCUUUUCCAGGGGUUUUCCAAACCCCGGAUAACAUACUUUUUAGGGGUUUAAACCGUCGGAAACGAAAAAAAUAACUUUCGGUAAAAAUCUAAAUUUUUGUAGUGAGACCGAUAGCCACUCAAUGGAGGGUUUCAUUAGGACUUGCCUUAUCAUAGAUGAUAGCCGACUCUUUCCUUUGUCGUUCGCUAACUUCGAUAAACUAUCCACCUGGACGUUCUCCUCUCUAGGUAUGUGUUUUAACACUAAAGUCUUAAAGUCAUUCCCUAAUUCUCUGGCCUUGUGGAAAUACUGAAGCAACUGGUCAUCCUUAAUCUGAAAUUUGUCGUCCAUCUACCCCACUAUCAACUGAGAAUCCGUUCGACACUCAAGACUUGUUACACAGAGGUCCUUAGCCAAUGAGCUCGGCGAUUAAGGCUUCAUACUCAGCCUAGUUAUUACUAAUCUUAAAUUGGAAAGCUAGAUAUUGUUCCAUCACUAAGUUGUACGGUCCUUCGAGUACUAUCCCUGCUCCUCAUCCUCGCCUAUUGGACGACCCAUCAACAAAAAGUUUCCAAGGUUGAGAGGGACUCAAGUCUGGUACGACCAAUUCUGCCACGAAGUCCGCCAAGUGUUGGUCGCGCACUAAGUCACAUGGUUCGUAACAUAAACCAAAUUCUGGCAAUUGGAUCUACCAACCUACAAUUCGCUCUGCCAGAUCUGGUUUCCUCCAAAUUUUUGCUAUAGGAUGGUCGGUUCAUACAACCACUUGGUGACUUUGGAAAUAAGGCCUCAAACGACGAGCAAUCGUGAGUAAUGCCAAAGUAACUUUUUCUAAGUGCUAGUAUCUUGUCUCGGUGUCCUGAAAUACUUUACUAAUGAAACCUACCAACUUAAACUCUGGAAUUUCUUGAAUCAAAGUUGCGCUAAUUAUGGCCUUGGAUACAACCAAGUAAAGUUGUAACUCCUUAUUUGGUCUCGAUCAACUCAUGACUAGUGGCUCAGCUAAAGUGCAUUUUACCUCCUUAAAGGCUACUUCACAUUGCUUAUCCCACUUGGUGAUGGUGGUUUUCUUCAUGACUUUCAAGGUUUGCCUAAUUCGCUCAGCCAACCUAGGGAUGAAACGAGACAAUGAAGUUAGGCGUCCAACCAACCACUACUACAGAAUUGCAUAUAGAUAUAAUCGAAUAGAUAGCGUUUUUUUAAAUAAGUGUUAUCUAUGAAUUUGCGGAAUAAUAGAUAACGCUUGUUUAAAAAAGCGUUAUCUAUAAUUAUGAAAAUAAAUAGCGCUUUUUUGAAAAAACUCUAUCUAUAAUCUUUCAAUAUUUAAUUAAUUUGUAAUUUGAAAUAUACCAAUAGAUAAAGCUUAUUUAAAUAAGGCUUAAUACCGCUUUUGGUCCCUAGUUUGGGAGGGUUUGUUCAAUAUGGUCCUACCUUUUUUUUUCAUAACAAUUAAUCCCACCUUUUGAAAAAACUGUUCAAUUGAGUCCUUUUUAUUCAUAGUGGCCCCAUAUUCAAGUUUAGAUUGUUUAUUAUAGUCCUUAUUGUAUACGAUGAUGACAUGAUUUAUAACAUAACAUUAUGUCAGGACUAUUAAAAUAACAUUUGGAUAGGUGAAUGCAUGAAAGAACUUAUUGACGUCAUAACCAGCACUGUUAGAAAAUUGACGUCGUAACAAAAAAGGAGUCAAUUGAACAGUUUUUUCAAAAAGUGAGAUCAAUUGUUACUAAAAAAAGGUAGGACCAUAUUGAACAAAACCUCCCAAACUAGGGACCAAACGCGGUAUUAAGCCUUUAAAUAAACGUUAUCUAUGAAGAACAAAUAGAUAACUUUUUUAAAUAAGUUCUAUAUAUGAUUUUUUUUUAAAUUUCAUUUGCUAAAUUUCGCGCUUCUCCUUCACUCUCUUUGUAGUUUCUGCUUAUUCGUUUCACUCUCUGUCGUUUUCAUAAUUGUGUGGCUUUCAUAAGUGCGUGUGGCGUAUUUGCUCCUUCGUUUCUGUUGUCGUUUUCAUCAGUGCGUGUGACAUUUCCUUCAGCUGUAGCAAUCCUUCGUUUCAGGGUUACCGUUUUAGGUAUCACGUUCUCUCUUCCUCUUCUCUUCUCUAUUUCGUUUCUUUUUUGCCAUAUUUUCAUGCGUUUUCCAAAUCUAAGGCAGUGAUGAGUGCAAACAUGGCCGCGACUAUCGCGAUUUCUCAACUUGGAUGCUUCUCCGUCGUUCACCGUUGUAUACACCUCCGCCGCUGCUAGCUUCUAGUUCCUUCUCCUCGCUCCAAGGUCUUUCUCCUCUUUCUCAUUUCCAAAUAGUUUAUUGCCACCGUCACAGUAACUUGGUAGGGUUUGUGGUAAGAACAAUUGCGUGCAUCAUUAGGCUCACGAAUGUACUAGGUAUUGCGUAGAUCUAAAUCACACGUUACCAAGGGAAGACUAAAGUAGUUGUCAUUGCAAAAAAUUAAGGGAACUCUAAAGUCGAUGACUUAGUAUCCAGAGUGACGUUGUCUUAGAAUUGCAAUUUUAGGUUCUUAUUAUGGAUUGACUAACUAUAUAAAUUUAAUACGUUUUUGAACUAAUUGGUUUCUCUUAGGGAAAAAAAUGUUAUCGUGUUUUGUUUAUGGCUUCUCGGUGGUUGUUUUAAUGAUUAUUUCUUAGCCAGUAUUUUCCUAACACGAUUUAGUGUUGAAUAUGGCGCUUUCUAUUCAUACAUCUGGUUUUCUGAUUUUAUUGGUUUCAGUCAUAGGAAUUUGUGAAUUUGUAUUACUUAAAAACCAGAUUACUAGAAGAGAAGAAGCAUUAAUAUAAAUCCAUUAUAUUUUGGAAUUCGGUAGAAAAAAAAAAGCAGUAUAUUGUUAUCAUAAGCAAUAUAUUUUUAAUCACCGGAAAUUUUGUAAACUUUGUUAUGAGUUUCUUUCACAUUAUGUGGUUUUUAUUAUUUUUUUAAUAUGGACGUAUGAUAGUUAUAAUUCUCUGUGUCCCAUUCCAUCAUAUCUAUUAUCCAGGUUCCUCUUGUGAUUUGUUUCGUUUUGGGGUAUCACUCAGACCUUCUAUACCUUACUUCCCUUCUACACACACUAACACACACACAUAUAUAUAAAUAUAUUAGCAAAAUGAUGAAAAUGAAGUUCUGAUGAUGUCCAAAUCAAGUCAAGAUAUAUCAAGAUUCAUGAAGAUCCUUUGAAGACUUGUUUUUGUUAUAAAAAGCUUUUGUAAUAAUUGUAGUUUAAUGUUUAGGACUUAGAUUUGUAGUAGUUUUGAUUCAUGUAAUUUCAUACUUUGUAUUUGCUGUUCAGAAUAAAAAACCGCACAAUUUUAAUCGAUUAAGUCAAGUAUUAAUAGAUUAAAAUGUUACAGGUGCUGAAAACUCAACUGGCAUGAAAAUAAUCGAUUAUUACCUAUUCUAAUCGAUUAAUUAAUCGAUUAAUUCUUAGAAUAAUCGAUUAAAGAUAGCCGUUGGAGUUUUCUGGUUUUUGAAAACUAGCCGUUGUACUCAUUUUAAUCGAUUAACACUUGUAUUAAUCGAUUACAAGCAUUAAAUGACCAGUUACGAAGAAUGGAAGAGUAUUUGCUUAAGUCUAUAAAUAGGCUCUCUUUUUCCAUCAUCAACAACUCUUCCCUUGUGCUCAAAUACUCAGAACUCUUUGAGAAUUGUGUGUUCUUGCUCAGCUAAGGAAACUUUUGUCUGUGGUGUUGGUACAUUGCUACUACGGUGACGGAGGAAUAGCUGGUUCAUCCUUGAUACAUCUAAGGAGGUGUGUGGAAGAGGAUCAUCCUUCGUGAAGUAUUCGAAGGAGGUGUCUCAUCCUUUGUGAAAAUUCAAAGGAGGUGCAUGUUCAUCUCUUGCGGUAUCAAGAGAGGUGAUUUCUAAACUCUUACAAAUUGUUUCUUUGUGAUUGAAAUUUGUAAUUGUUUUAUGAUUAAUGAAUUGUUUAUCUUGAUUUGAGAUUACCGACUGGACGUAGGAUUGGUAAGAUCUGAACCAGUAUAAAAAUUAUCUGGACAAAUUUCUCUCAACCUUACUCUUUUAUUUAUAUUUAUUAUUUGCAUAGUAAGAUAAAUUGAGUAGAAAUUAAAAGACACACGUUUAUAUUAAAAUCCCCCUUGGUUUGUUAUUUCAUGCUAACCAUUCCACUGCGGUUGCUCUGACAAUAUAUAUAUAUAUAUAUAUAUAUAUAUAUAUAUAUAUAUGUGUGUGUGUGUGUGUGUGUGUGUGUGUGUGUGUGUGUGUGUGUGUGUAUAAGACUUUUACAAAUGAGUUUAUGCAUAAACUAAAUUUAACUUAAAUUAUAAAAGAAACUAGUUUUUCUGCAAGUACUGGAUUAGAAUGGUUUAUUGUUCAUAUAUGCUUGUAUUGGUUUAUGUAAUUGUAGGAGAAUACCCAAACUAAAAAGCAUAUAGCAGAGUACUGGGAGUCUAUAUGAUCAAGUAUUCAAGUUGACCUUGUUAAUGAUUUGAUAGAUUGACACGUUUCUCCAUAUUUAGGGAAAGUCAUAUUAAGUCUAUGUGCUUGCACAUAUCUUUACUUCGAUCUUGCAAGCCGUAGGGCUAGAUAAUAUGGACAAGCUUGAAUAAUUGCAUAAAUAAUAUUUUUGUUAAAUAAAAGUUUUUUAGAGCAAUUAAUUGACAUUGAUACUGAACUGAAGCAUAUCUCAUUUAGUUACCAGUUGUUAUGAGUCUGGAGAGGCAUGACACAAAUACUGUUGGGACUGAUAUUGAAAAAACAGGGCUUGGACAGGAAAUACAAGGAAGUGUUGAUCAACCAAAAAAGACUGCAAAAACCCAUGACUUCUGUUUAGGCAUUCCCUUUGGUAAGUGUUUCCUUUGUGUGUAGAUGAUUUGCACAUUAGUUAAGUUAUAUGAUGCAUUUCUCAUACUCUGCUUGUUUGGAAGGAAACAGAGGGGUAGAGAUUAUUAUUUUUAUUUUAUUUUAUCCUAUUAGAGUGAAAAGUAGAAGAAAUGGGAGAGCUAAAAUCCCCUCUCUGCCUACCUUCAAUAUUAGGGAGGGGGUGUUUGGAGGAGAGGGAAGGUGAAUUAUAGUUUUUAGACUGUGUAGAAUGAAUUAUCUCAAUUUAUUUACUUUUCAUCUCCACCAUUACUUUUCAUUGGGGUGUGACAGUAUUUUUCUCCCCCUCUCUUGCAAACAAAAUAAGGUGAUCAUUUCUUUCCCUCCCAUGCUUUGUACAAAGUACAAUAUUAGUGUGGACGACAGUGUUUGGUUUAAUUGCUCUUUUAUCGCCUUUAAUUAUCAAGAAAAAAGUGACUCGAUUGUUGUUGACAAGUUAAGUAUGACAUACAUUGUUUAUUGGAAUUUUGGUUUAUUAUUAUGUUCAAAUUAUAAAGAUGUUUUUUACUUUUGGAUUUUUAGUGUUCAAGACAAUCCAACAGUAAUGAUUGUGAGUAUUAUUUGUGUCAAUAUAUGAGGGAAAUUAUCACGUACUAUGAAAGAGGAACAAUUCCAACUCAUGUAAGUUAUCUUUAUUAUGAUAAUUAAUUUGUAGUAAAAUUUAAUUAACUAAUUAUAUAUUAUUUUUCUUUUUUGCAAUAUUUUUCUAAUUGCAGAUGUCAACAAUAUCGUGACAGUAAAAUCAUUGAAGUUGGGGAAAAUUGAUUUUUACAUGUAAUUAGUACAUGCUUAUAGGUUAUGUUAUGGUGAUGUACAUGCUUAUAAGUACUGAUAGGAUAUAUAUGUUAUGAUUGUAUAUAUUAUCUCAUAAAGCAAUGUCAUAUCAUGACACGUACUAGACAACUUAACAAUUAUAUUUUGAAAUAUUAUUGUACCAAUAGUUUUUAUUCAUAUCAACGAACAUUCUUUUUUAUACCUUUGUCAUAAUUUUCUCAAUAUUUUAUAUUUUUUUUGUAUAUAAUAGAACCAAUAGAUGGCGUGGCUUUGUACAUAAUAGAACCAAUAUUUUAUAUUUUCUUUUUAAAAAAAUAUUUUAUAUUUUUUGAAAUAUUUUAUUCUAAAAUUAAUUAUUUUUUUUUUAAAAUUAGACAAAUAGAUAGUGUUUUUCUAAAAAAGCGUUAUCUAUUGUCAACCACCAAUAGAUAGUGCUAUCUAUUGAUGAUUGACAAUAGAUAACGCUUUUUUUAGAAGCGCUAUCUAUUAAUAGAUAACACAAAUAUAGAUAGUGCUUAAAAAGCGUUAUAUAUGCUCUUUUUUUUUAGUAGUUAACUGUUGCACCUCUUUCAGGUUUUGAGGGCUUUUGAUCUUUAUCACUACUCGACACUUAUCUAGGUUUGCUUCAAUUCCCCGAGAGGUCAACAUGAAACCUAAGAAUUUUCCAGCAGCCACCUUGACCGUGCACUUAGUUUGGUUCCAACAACAACCAAGAAGUAUCUUACCCUCAGCUCCUUCAUGUCCCGAUCGGUUCUUAGGCAUGUCCUUUGAUCUACGUACCCCGUCGUAUCCACUCAUUCUCCUCCAAACCCAACAAUCUGCUCAUUGUAAGGAACAAUUGAAUAUUUCGACAAGUCCAUCUUUUGGAAGGUUUUCUAAUAAAGGAUGUUAAUGGAACUUCCUUGGUCAAUCAACAUUUUGUUUACGCUGUACUGAGCUAUUUUCGCAGUUAUAACCAUUGGGUCGUCUUGAUCGGGAUCUAAGGCAUGGAAGUCCUCAUCUAAAAAUGUGAUCAUCGACAUCGAUCUUUGCCUCCUAUUCACUUGAUGAACGGUUUUUAACACCGUAAUGUGCCUUUAGAAAUCGUAUUUAUGUGACCACGUAACAGACGGUCUUGACUUCGGCUUCGACAUCGGUUAGCGUACUAACGCACGUCUCGCCGAGGGGGUUGAUCGAAACUUCUCCUCUAAGGAGGGCUUCUCUCCACUCGCUCGAUUUUUACAUACUUUCGGAGAUAACGGUAGUGCCCAAGGAGUAUGACACACUCCUCGGUUAUGUGCCCAAGGUUUUGAUGAUAACGGUAAUGCUUCUUACUGUCAACAUUCCUCAGGGUUGGCUUCUUCUUCAAAGGGGGAAGGUGAUAACGGUUCAAAAACCGUUAUUUUUAUACUUGAAUUUGAUGCAAAACACACCCUUUAUGAUUUAGAAUUCGCUUGAAAUCAUGCAUUUUGCUUAAGUUAGGAAAUAAGAGAGUCAAAGGUGGUUUUCUUGGUUUUAUGCUUGGUUUUCCCAUGAUUUGGCAGGAUUUAUUAGGAAUUGAAUGGAGGAAGUUGAAGUAGAGAAGAGUUGGACUCAAAAGAAUUUGGAAAAGUGAACAAAAGAGGAAACACAGCCACCACUCAGCACUGACCUAGUGCUGAGCGCCAGUUUCGUUGGAGGAUUCUCUGUCAAACGCUCAAGUGCCAACGUUGAGGGGUGAAAUUGAGUGUCGAGCCCACCGUUGAGCGCUACCUACCACUGAGCGUUGGCUUCUCUAGUGACUUCACUACCAAACACCUGGGCAUCAAAGCUGAGCGUCCCUCUUGAGUACCAUACCAAGCGUUGAGCGGUGGCCCAGCGCUGAGCGCUAUACUUUUGGGCCUGGGCCAGUUUCUGCUUCGUUUUAAUGAAUUAUAAAUAGAUUUGGACGACCUAGAUGGUCUAUCUUUUGGCAGAAGAAAUGCAGAAACACACUUCUCACCCCUUGGAGGCGGAUUUUGGAUGCGAGAACUCCAACUUAUCAAAUCUAGGGUUUAUCUUUUCAUUCUUUUCAUUAUUUUGAUCUAGUUUCACCACGAUUAUGGUGAACUAAACCUCCCUUGUUGUUGGGGAAUUGAUGUAAUCUUUUGAAACUCUCAUAUAUUGAAUUGUCGCUUUAUUCAUUUGCUUUUAUUCAUUAAUUGUUAGGGUUUUUCCCCUUUUCUCUAUGCAUGCUUUGUUUAAUUCAUUCAAUAUCAUGAUCUUUGAUUCUAUCUUUAUGGACACAUAUAGAUAUAUCUAGACAUGGUGAAAUUCUCUCGGGAGCAAUAUUACCUAGACAUAGCAAUGGGAGGACCGAUUACCUUAAGCUUCUGUGUGAAUUAUGUAAUGCAUGAUCAAUUGCUAGGGAGACAAGACAUUGUAAACUAGUAAUUAGGAGUAGUCUCUUUUCACCAAGACAUUGGGAUUAAGGUAAAUUAGUGUCGCAACCGGAAUCGCGACGGGACGACGAUCCAAAAAGAAAACGAGUUUGAAAAAGAGUUUUGGAGUCGCCACCAUAGUUUAUUCUGGAAAACUACGGAAAAACCAUAAAACGACACGGCACAGUCUACAAGAACCAGAUUCUAGGUUCGGGAGUCGGUUACGUGUGAGGAAGGUGUUAGCACCCCACAACGCCUGCCCUAAGGCAGUACCUUUAACUAAAUACGCGAAUUUGAUGUGGUUUGCAAGAUGUUUAAUUUCCCCUAAAAAUAUAAACUCUAAAGAAAACAAAAUAUAUUUUUUAUUUUUUUUUGUGCCCGACAAGGAUUGACCUCGCUCCUACGUAUUCUCAAAGUGAGAAAUCAGGGUUACGUAGUUCUUUAAAAACUGAUUGGAAAUUUUGUUUGGAGAAUUGUUUGGAAACAUGAUGUUUUAUAUUUUUUGUUAAUUUUUUUGAAAGAAAAAGAAAAAGGUUUUCGACACAAGGCUGACGCGAAUGGUCGCAUGUGUGCUUAAACCUUUUAAAAUAUUUUUGCAUUUUUUGAAAGAAGGAGGAAAAGGUUUUGACACAAGGCUGACGCGAAUGGUCGCACGUGUGCUUAAACCUUUUAAAAUAUUUUUGUAUUUUUGAAAGAAGGAGGAAAAAGUUUUAACACAAGGCUGACGCGAAUGGUCGCACGUGUGCUUAAACCUUUUAAAAUAUUUUUGCAUUUUUGAAAGAAGGAGGAAAAGGUUUUAACACAAGGCUGACGCGAAUGGUCGCACGUGUGCUCAAACCUUUUAAAAUAUUUUUGUUGUUUUUAAUAUUUAUGUAUGUUUUUUUUAUUUUUUUAUUUUUGAAAAAAAUGUAGAGAAAUAUCUAAAAUACGAAAGAAGAAGAUAAAAAAAAUUUAUAAUAAAAUAAAAAAAGAAAUAAAAAUAAAAAUAAAAAAAUAAGUAAAUAAAUAAAUAAAAUAAAAAGAAAGUAAAUAAGAAUAAAAACAUAUUUAAAACCAACUUAACUCUAAAAACAAAUUGGGCCCAAGCCCAAGUGGUCAGGGGUACGAAAAUGAAAACAAGGGGGCUGCAAGGAGGAAAAUUGAAUGGGUUUAAGCCCAAGAAAGAUGGGGUGCGAUCCAGCAGAAUAAGGGGGUGCAGAACAGGUUUUUGUUUGUUUUUGGUCGGCCCAGUGGUCCAAACAGAAAAUAAAGGGGGCGGCGAAAAUGUGAAACAGGGGGGGUGCCAGAGGAAAGUGUUGCCUUUUAUGUUGGACCCAGAUCCGGCCCAGGAUCCCACUCUAACUCAGAAAGGCAGGGGUUUCCUCAUUCUUCCCAUUCUCAUUCAUUCAAGAAAAUAGAAGAGACCUAGGGUCUCUCCUCUCCCAGGCGCGGCACACACACCGGUUUCCUCUUCUCCAAACGGCAGCUGCCCUCCGGCGGGACCCAUGGCGACACCGGCGUCCUCACCACCAUCCGGCCAGCCACCGCAGGCCGCGACGGCCUCACCCUCUCUCCUUCUUUUCUUCGUGAACGACGCCACCAAGCCAGGGCCGCCACUCUCCGUCAAACUCUCGCCGGCCACCGCUCCAGCUCUGGCCUCGCCGGCGCCACCACACCUUCGAGAGAGAGCAGCGAUUUCACAUCCUCCGCCACCAAACUACCGGAGCUACCGCCAGCUUAGACGCGAAACCCCCCUUUCCCCUUUCUCGCGUGAGAACAGGGAAGCGUCGUGCUUCCUUCCUUCAACCGGCCACCACCGCGAGCCGCCGUCGUCACAGAAACAAUGACCCCGUCGGACCAAAACUGAGAAACCACCGCGCCUCCGGAAGUCCACGCGAACUCCAGUCGUCGCAGCCACAGCGAUCACCACGUGAAUCUCUUCUAUNCAAAUCUCUGUUUUANUACACACUCAUUCNAUAUNGGAGUGGGAUUCUCACAUUUAUGGGAUUUUUCAUGUUCUUGCUGUUUUUCUUGUUUGGGCGCUUGCAGGUUAUAGGCCAUGAAUCACUUGGUUUCAAGGAGGAUUUGGCAUAUAGAGUGNCGUUGUUGAAUUUCUUAGUUUUUGAUUGCCUUACAGCUUUGUAGUGUGUUUUCUAGGUGUAAGCAAAUGAUAUUGAAAUCCGAUGCUUGGGGAAUAUACGUCUAUUUCCUAUUGUCAUUUAUAUCUGAUGAAUUUUGUUGGCAUUGAAACUAUGUUUUGGAUGCAGUUUUGGUUAACAGAGAUGUGACAAAGCAAGCGAACACAACUAUCUACACUGAUCAAAUAUCAUUCGUUCACCUCCCAGCACAUAUAAGGAAAGCACAAUCAUGAGCAUUAGAUGGGCACGGCCAAAGAGCUUAUGUAUAAGACUUACCUCCGCAGCUUCAAACCGUUCCUUUUGGUUCCACUCUCUCUGGCUCCCUUAGACCUUGGAUUGCUAAGAUAUUCUUGCAGGUGCUGGAAAGCCACGCUGAAAGCAAAUGAUUCUCCAUCCCUUUGGCCGUGAGGCCUCCUCUUCCCAAGCUGUGAUAACCGGUGACUGUGAUGAUAGGUGAUGGUGAAACGUUGAACUAAAUGCUCUCUGGCUCUCGGAGUUUCCUCUGCUCAUGAAAUGGUGGACGCCAUCACAAAGACUGAGACUGAAUGAUGAUUGAAGAUGCAGGUCCAAAGAGGUUGCCUUUCUUCUUUGUAUGCAAAUGACUGUUCUUCCCCGACGAGAGGGAGUCAAGAAUGUUUUUCUUUUUGUUUCCCCCUCCCUCUGCUGUUUAAGGUCUCUUCUUCUUAUUUACUGUGAUGAAUUCCCAUUCAAAAACCAAACCCCAGCCCUGCGUCCUGGGAACAUAUCUUCUGACUUGGGAUUCGCUCUUUGUUUUUUUCUACGUUAGUGUUUAAAUUUGAUCAGAUGGUAAAAGGCGUUGAGGUAUCUUUACUUCUUUGGUGUAUGGCACCACUUUGCAUAGAGAUUUUUGGCAAGAGUCACACAACUGUUCUUUCAUGGGCAUUGUAUAAGCCAUUUCGAGCUUUCCUCUGUAAAGAUGUCUGAUGCCAGUGUUGAUUUACGUUGCAGGAAAACAAAGAGGCUAGCAGUUGACUUUGUGAUUUUGUUUUUGUUUCCUUCUGUUUUUUUUUUGUUUCCUUUUUCCUUUUUUCGUUUCAUUUCAUUUUUUGUUUUUUUCCUUUUUUUUUUCAUCUUUUCUCAUAAAAAUUAAAGUAAAGGUAAAAAACGACAAAAAGAAAAUUAACUCAAAAUAAAAUCAAUAACUCUAAACCAUCAAAAAGUAAAAUAAAAAGUAAAAAAAGAAUUAAAAUAAAAAUUAAUAUAAAAAUGAAAACAAAUAAAGAUAAAUAAGUAAAAUAAAAUAAAAAUAAAAUAAAAGAUAAAAAAAAAAACUAAAGAUAAAAAAUGAAAAUUAGAUAAUAUAACAAAAAACAAAACGAUAAAAAGAAACAAGAUAAAAAUAAUAUUUUUGUCACCCGGACGAAAUUGGGUAUUGACAAUUAGAAAGUGGCAUUAACAUUAAUGAAAAAGUCAAAUUCUUAGAUAUAUGAGAGUGGAUAAGAUAAAAUCAUAAACCCUAACAACAUAAUUCAUUCAUACAUUAAUCACCUGCGUUAUCUUUUUGGUCAAUUGAUCAAAACCUUGCAUGUUUAUUUUCUGUCUUGCAUAUAAAACUCUAAUUUUCAUUUUCUCAAGUCUAAAAAUAAUCAAGAAAUCACAUGAAAGUCUAGGCCUAUGAGUCUCUAGGGAAACGAUACUCGGUCUUACCGUUUAUAUAUUACUUGAUACGAUUCGGCACACUUGCCGAAGACUUAACAGAAGAAGGUCAACACUCAGAGCUUCUUCUAAAAUCCUAGCACUUUGAGCGUUUAAAGGCAUGUAUUGGUUGAAGUUGGGUACCCAUGGGAGGUUCUUUGGUUUUGGGCCAACUCUUUUAUCUCCGUGAACGAACAAUUUCUUGCCAUCUUUCUGUUUCCCCCCGGACGAUGAAGUUGUCGCCUCAUCCUGCUCCCUCUUUCGAAACGUGUGCAUUUCCUCUAUGUGCACAAAGUCGACGAUGUUACCAAUGAGGAGCAUUGAUGCCUUGAAAUGAUUUUGAUGAUGAUACACUUAAAGACUUGAAGAAUCUAUUUUGUAAAUGUUAAAAGCACUCAUUGUAGAAAUCAUUGUAUAGGAAUCAUUUUGCAAUUGUAAAAGCACUUAGAAGUUUCUUUAACUAGUAAUUCUUUACGACAAUAAUCGAUUAUCACAAGGGAUAAUCGAUUAUCACAAGCUAAAACAGAAAAGAGUUGCUCGCAACAAUAAUCAAUUACCAUAGGGGAUAAUUGAUUAUCCUUGCUAGUUUUGAUAUUGUACAAAGUUCGACAAUAAUCGAUUAUCACUAAGGAUAAUCGAUUAUCACUAAGGAUAAUCGAUUAUCACGUUUUCUAAAAACCCAUAAUGGCCUAAAAUAAUCGAUUAUCACUUAUGAUAAUCGAUUAUCACUGGCAGUUGGGAACAAGUUUUUCAUUUUCUGACCCUUGGCCUAUAUAUAUAUAUAUAUAUAUAUAUAUAUAUAUAUAUAUAUAUAUAUAUAUAUAUAUAUAUAUAUAUAUAUAUAUAACCCUCCUAAACCUUUAAGAGGUUAACUAAACUACUUGAGAGCACAGAUCGGUUAUGAGGAAGUUCUUUGAGUUUAAGUGUGAGUUCAAUCAAGUCUUGUGAAAAAGAGAAGCUUGUGUUUAGUGCGUCUAAGGUCCAAGCAGUUCUCUUCAAGUUGAUUGAGCUGGUUUCUUUCCAUCAUGUGUCGAAGGAAGGUGUUUUAUGUUUCUAAUAUUUACAUUGCUUUGUUUGAAAUUUGAAAUUUAAUUAUAGUGAAAAUAUUAAUCACUCUUCAUAGUGAUUAACGACUAGACGUAGAAUUUGUUGAUUCGAACCAGGAUAAAAAUCCUUUUGUUUGACUUUCUCUAUCCUUAUACUUUUUGUUUACAAACAUAUUGAUAAAUUUAAUGAAAGAAAAUCAUAAAUUUUAAAAGAACCAAUACACCCGUCCCCUCUUGGUUAUUAAUUGUUUUCACGCUCUCUAAACGUUCCGCUUCACGAUAUCAAUCUCAAUAGGCGGCCCUCUCCUGUAGCUCGUUUGUGGUCUUGGGCGACCUAGCACACAGGUUGUCCGCAAAUGGGUCGGCGUUCAACGUCGUUGAUAGAUUGUUAAGUAUGAAUUCCUGACUCACAACUUUCACCUAUCGAGCGGUCUUAUUGUAACUGUCCAUAAAGUUUUUUAGUGACUCAUCCUCCCUUGCUUAGUGUUGAUUAACACUAGGUAGGUAAGACUUUGGACUCGGCGAAAGGCAUACUACCUGUUGAACAAGGUACGUAUGGUUGUGAAACAGUCCACCGUGUUCGGAGGUAGAGUGUUAAACCAUGCCAACGCUUCUCCUUUUAAUGAUAGAGAAAAUGCUCGGCACAACACCAAGUCACUAGAUGAGUAAAAGGCCAUAGUGUUUACAAAGGAGCGAAGGUGCUCAUCCAGAUCAGUCGAUUUGUCAUACUUCUUGAACAUCGGGGGCAUUUUCUUCUCUGGCAUUGGAGCCUCCAUCACCACAACUGUGAGCGGUAGUAAUCCCUCUGCUUGAACGGUUUGAACGGAAAGGGUGGUUCUAGCUGGGGCGCUACUUACUUCCUGUUUGAUCCGGCUUGGUUCCCCCGCCUGACUGUUCUCACUCGAACGGGUGGGAGCAUGUGACAUGGAUUGAUGGGCAGACUGCUCCCUCCAUACGAUAGAACGUUCGACCCUCAACCCUCAACGUAGCUACUUCAAUGUCAUGUCUUCUCUACAUUUCUUGCAUUUGUCGCUGCAUUCCUCGAAUUAACUCCAUCGGAUCUAGUUGUUCUCCCAUGUUCCUCGUGGUCACCAUUGGGCUUCUUCUAUCAUCCUCGACCCCAUAAUGAGCGUCAAAAUGUUUUGGUUUAAGGGGUCGAGGAUUUGCCUCCUUACUUAAGUGUUCCACACUCCCACGUCUUGAUCAUCAAAUAUUUUGUAGAUGCUCUUGAGCUGUUCGGUAUGUUUAGGAGUUACCUGCAAAAGACAUUCUCUCAAGUCAAUGAUUUUUCUCAAUAAACUUGUAUUAAACAGGGUUAUGAAAAGUGUAUAUUACCUUAAUGUCAAACCUAUAUUAUUCUUAUUAAUCUCCAGUUAAUGACUUUUAUUGCUUCAAUCAAUUACCCAUUAAUAACCUUAGUUAUUGUCUCUGCCAAUCGAUUGUUGGCUUAUUGGUUGACCGACCGUCGGUCCGUUGACAGACCCUAGAGUCAUAUUUUGCAUGGUAUUGUGACGCCAUAACAUUUGCAACAACUUAUAACGUGUUUACAUAAUAAUAUAAAAUUAGAGUUUACACUUUUACUAAGUUUUAUGUAACUUGUGGUUCAAUUUUUUUUACCUUAUUUUAAUAUUUAUAAACACUAAUUAAAUUUAUUUUGAUAAAAUUUAAUAGGUCAUAAAUUUUCCACGAUCCAAUAUGUAGAUGUAGAUUGAUAUAUUUAUAGUUCAACAUUAUUAUAUAUAUAUAUAUAUAAAAGUAAAUAUUAAAUGUGUUAAGGUCAUUAUAUUUUAUUAGCCAAUUUUAUAAAGUGAUCUAAUUAAGAUAAAUAUGGCUAAGGAUAUAUUUGUCAUCAAAGGUAUUGUGUAGAGACCAGCAAUAAUUAGAAUUUGUUGAAGGGGUCAAAUUGUAAUUAUUGAAACUAAAGAAUAUUAACCGCUAGAGAGGUCAUGGUCUCCAUUUGUGAGCAUAACGAUUCAUCCUGUUUCUUUCUCUUUAUCCCCAUCAAAAGAAAAAAAUCAAGAGGGAACUAAAGGUGCUCUUAAGUGGAAGAUCAUUGACUAAUUUCAGAUUGAUCAGACUAAUUCAGGUUCAUUAAUUAUUCUCAAUGUUUUCAUACAGGCUUCCAUUUUACUAUUUGGGAACUCAUUUGAUAUCUGUGAAUCAUAAAUUCUAACACCCUUGUUAUCUUGUGUAUAUAAACUCGUUUAAAAUUUUUAUAUUUAUUUGAUUCAAAUUUUAAUAACUAAUUUUAAUAAAUAUUAGAUUUAAUAACAAAAUAUUCAAUACUUAAUACAAAUAUUUAUUGUUAUAUUUAUUUAGUAAUACUUAAUUUGAACGUUUUAAAAAUGAGAGAUACAUUCCAUAUUUAAAAAUUUAGUUUAAGAACUCAUGUGAUUUUGAAAAUGGGUAUUUAUUAUUUUCGGAUUUUGAAAUUUUUAUUGAAAUCAUGUAAACAUUUCUACCAAAUUUUAAAAUCGUUGAACACUAGUAUAAUAUAUUUACGUAUAAAAAUUCAUAAAUGAUUUAUUAUUAAUACUAUUAAUAUAUUAAAACUUAUAUAGUGAUAUUAAUGAUAUUAUAACUUAGUAUAAUAAUAUUAAUGAUAUAAUUUUCCAUAAUUAACUAUUGUAGUAAUAAUUUAUCAAUUUUGACUAUUUUUAUUUAUUAUAACCGAAUUUUUCACGACACCAUAAUAUUUUUUGUAAACUAUUUUUGUAUAGUAUUCGGACACCAUAAUAUUUCCAAGAAUUGAUAACAAGUUUACAUAAUAAUAAAAAAUUAUAGUUUAUACUUUUAAAAAGUUUUUGUAGUUCAAUUUUUUUUUAACUUAUUUUAAUUUCAAAUACUAAAACACUUAUGAAUAUAUAUCAGAUUUCAAAAUUCUAUUAAAGGCUCCAUCCUAUUUCUACCUUCAUUUAAACUAUACUAAACUAUUAUAAACAAAAAUAAUUGAACAAACGAUGUAUUGAAGUAAAGAGUUAAGAAAGAAAAGAGCAAGACAAAAUUCGGUACAAAAAGUUGGGUGGAGAUGAACAAAGAUGAAAGAAGCACGAAAAGAAGAUGCCGCUAAGUUUAGGUCAAGAAAAGUGAAAGUAAAAAUGGGUGAUAGAUGAGUAGGAUAAUAAUAGAAAUUUUUUUGUUUAUCCUUAUUAAUUUAGAUGUACACGGAUAAACUUUCUAAAAUUUGAAAGUAAAAUUUGGAAUAGCAUGAAAAAAAUCCACUCAUUUAAAGGAUAUCACUUAGAAGGAAGAUGUAAGUUUUAACAUUUCAUUAUUAUAAAUAUUGGGAAUCAAAGUCAGGUUUUGAAGGAUAGUCAAGACCUUGUAGAGCUUGUAUCUUUGGGAUAUAUCCUCAUCUGAAUAUGAAGGAAUGAACCAGUACUUCUUGUCCAUUCCAGAAACCUGAUAUCCAACCAAACAUCAAUCAUAAUGUAACCACAUAUAUUAGUCAAUAAUAAUACCAGAACAAGACCACCCCACCAUCCAUAAGUCCAUGUUCUGUUACUUUUUUAGUGUUGUUACUCAGCUAAGCUUCAAAAUUCACUGAUUUUGGUAUAUUAAAACAGCUUCAAGUAACUUUUAUGUUAGAUCACAAGUUUCAUACAGUUAAAUUGACAACUUGAUUUUUUCAAUAAGAACACUCAUACAGUUAAAUUGACAAUUUCGUUUUUACUGUUUUGAAAGUACAAAAUAAUCAACUUCUCUUAUUCGCCCAAUGCAGAAAGGAUUGAACUUGUGAGUAAAUUAUUUGAUAGAUGUAAUUCCAUUAAUUGCGUCAAAUUUCCAAGUUAUAUAUCUGCAAAUUGGUUUGAAUCAACAUAAAAUCUGACCACAUUCUUCAAUAGACCUAAUGUACAAUAGAUUGAACCAGUUAGGCAAUUAUUAUGGAGAGACAAUGUAUCCAAUUGUGCUAAAUUACCAAGUUCUUGUGGUAUUGAACCUGCAAUUAAUCCAGUGAGAGUAAGAAAUAGACAUUUGAGAUUCUGCUAUUGNAAGAAUUCAGAAAGACUUAAAAGUUCUUUAGGCACAGACAUACCAUGAUGAUGAUUAUUGCCGAGAUUAAAAACAUAUUUGGUCUCUGACAAACAUCAAUGGAAAAUAUCAAACAAUUGGAAAUAAAAUCAUUGAUUUCACCUUUGUACUAAUCAGUUAAACAAACUCUACAAAUAAAAUGUAAUGUCAAAGAAAAUAGAAGUUUGAUAGCAAUCCCAAAUGCAAAGUAAAAAAUAAUAAUGUAUCAACCCUUGACCAAGAAAACAUCAGCAGCAGAGGUUACAACCUAAACCAACUCAUCUAAUACAAAAUUACAAAUCAUUCAUGCACAUUCUAUGACAAACACAUUGUUAUUCAAAUAAGGUGUCACCUUUCAUCAAUUCAACAAGUCUCUCGAGAUCAUUUCAUAAAAAAAUUUCUCUGCCUUUUCAGUCUCUUUGUUCUUAAACAGAGCAGAGAUGAUUAUUUGAAAAGUUAUAACAUUAGAUAAGCAACCACUGUCUUCCAUUUUGGACCACAAGGUCAAUGCUUCAUCAAGCAAACCCUGCUUACAAAGACCACUGAUCAUAACAUUAUAAGUAGGGAUGUCGGGACUGUGACCUUUAUUCAAUAAAUCUUGAAAAAUCUCUCGUGCAUUUUUAAGUCUCCCCCCUUUACACAUGCCAUCAAUAACUAUGGUUGCAGUGCACAUAUCGGGCUGAAUUCCAUUCUCUCUCAUUUUCCUCAAUAAUUCAAUUGCCUUGUCUAGAUGUUGAUUUUUGCAUAAACCAUCAAUCAAAGAAUUAUACAUGAUUACAUCUGCUUGUUGAUUUCUACCAUGCAUCUCAUGAAAAAGAUCCCAAGCAUGAGAGAUUCUUCCAGUUUUGCAUAAACCAUCAAUAAGAGUAUUAUAAGUCACAGUAUUUGGAAUUAUAUUCCUGUUCUGCAUUUCCUGAAAAAGAUUUAUGGCCUCAUCCACCCUUUCGUUCCUUAUGAGUCCAUUUAUCAUGAUAGUGUAGGUCCAAACAUUAGGACUCACUCCCAUGUGGGUCAUUGCACUGAAUAUUUGUUUCGCAUUUUUCACUUUAUUAACUACGUAAUACCCAUCCAUUAGAGCAUUAAAGCUAAAAACAUCAGGUUUCACGUAAUCUUUCACCAUCACACCUAACACAUUCUUGGCUUCUCCUAACUUUCUUUCCUUACAUAAUGCAUCAAUCAAUAUAUUAUAGGUAUAAACAUUUGGCCUAAUGCUAUUUGAUACCAUUUCAUUUAGAAAACCAAAUGCUACCUCUACCUGUCCCACUAAGCAAAAGCCAUAAAUUAGAGUAUUAUAAUUAACAAGAUUAAGAGAAAUUCCUUUGAUAACCAUCUCGGAAUAGAAAUCAUAAGCUUCUUUUGGACGUUUCUCUUUUAAUAAAGAAUCAAUAAUAAUGUUAUACAUUACCGUUGAUGGACCUUGAAUCUUUCGGAGCAAUUCGAUGGCGGCUUCAGUUUCACCUAUUUUGCUCAAUCCAUUGAUCAAUAUCCCAUAAGUAAAUUGGUUGAGCCGAAAUCCUAGUGCUACUACUUUAUCGUGAAAAUUGAGGGCUUCCUUAACCUCACCGUUAUCACAUAGACCUCUCAUGAGUGUAUUUAAGGUUAUGGCAUUUGGAUGAUAACCCCUUUUGAGAAUCUUGACAAAUACAGAGAAAGCAAAAGGCAAUUGGUUUAAGUGACAGAAACAAUUGAUGAGGAGACUGAGAUUAACAAAGUUAUUGUGAAUUCCCUUGAGCUCCAUUUGCUGAAUGAGAGAAAUAGCAGUAGGGUAGCGCUUCACCCUCACAAGAAAUCCCAAAAUCUUUCCAAAUUCGAAGAUGGGAGGAACAUGACGCUGAUGAAGCAAGCGAUUGAAUUGUGAGACGGCUUCGUCGUGUAAGGAAGUCUGAGGGUGAGAGUGAGAGCAAAAGAGGGAAUUGUGGAUUGGAAGAAAUGGAGGAAACUUGGCAAUGGAAGGAAGAAGAGAAACCCUAACACUUCUUGAGAGCCACAUAUUUGCUGCAACAACAAUAGUAUGGCAUUCUUCAAAUUUAUGUUUUCUUCAUUUUUAAAAAGCUUAACUUGUAUGCUUUGAAUAUUUUGUUGGGACAAAUUUAAUGAAUUUAAAUUUUUUAAUUGGAUAAAAUUUUUAUAAUUACCUCUAAAUUUUAAAAGUUAUUUAAAUUUGAAAUAAUUAUUAACACUUACACCUUUAUUCUAAGUUACAUCCUUUUUCUUGUACUUUCAAAAUUUAUUCCUGUGUUUCCGAAUUUUGUCUUAAUGUAAAAACUAUAUUUUUAACGGGUAAAAGAAAAUUUCUCUCAUUAUUAUUCAAACAAAAUCCUUCUCCUAUCCUUAUUUUGCCUAUUUAUCACUCAUUUUUCUUAACUUAAACUUAAACAUAACCGAACUUCUCUUUCGUGUCUGCCUGUCUUUGAUUAUGGUUAAAACUACUUAAGCGUCCCUGUUUUCGUAAGGUCUUCCCAUUUUGGUCCCGUUCUUAUAAAACUUUCCAAUUGAGUCCUCAAAAGUACUAAUUUGAAACAAUCCAACCCCUACCGUUAAAAAUCGUAACGGCCGUUUAAAUAUCAAUGACGUGGCAUUAUAAAUUAAUUUUAUAUUAAUAAUUAUUAAUAAAUAUUUGUGUGAUCAGGAUUUUAGAAGGGUAAAUUUGGAAUAGAAAAUAAUUUCUUCUGCAGAACCCAAACAUAGCUCCCACUUCAUCUUCUUCCUCCGCAAAACNCAUAGUUCAUCUNCUUCCUCAAACCAACCNUAAAACANAAAUUUGCAUAUCUCGGAAUUUCGAUCUUUUUCCUCAGACCGAACAAAAAUAACCAAAUCCUUUAUAAAACCCUAAUUUCGAUCUUUUUCCCCAAUUCAAUUUGUCGAGCCCGCCACCGUCACAGUAGAGCCCGUCGCCAACGCUGCCAAGAGCCGAUGGAGCUUCAUAGGGUCAGUGGCGCUUCUCCCUUUGCUUCUUUUGUUCUGAUAAUUGUAGCCAUCUCCCUGUAUUGGGUUUCGUCUUCUGUAUGUAUCUACUGUGUGAUGAACCGAAAGAAAGGAUUUAAUGCUUCGAAUCCAAGAAUUUGGAUGGAUUGGUGUGCGAUGAUGGGAAAGCGUAGUGGAGAUUAGGGGGCUGAUUUGGUCUUCUCCGUUUUGAUUUGAAUCUAUUCAGAGUUUUGGGAUUUUUCUGAGGUCACAGAAGAAAUGCUUGGUUGAUCUUUUUGAGUCGCAUCAUGCAACUCUCCAGUUUCAUCACUGGAUCUGCCAAAGCUCUGUGCUGAUUCAUCCUGGAUAGCAUAAGAACUCUGCAGAAUGUUAAAGAAAUGAUUAAAUUGAUUUUUUUCUACGAUUUUUUAGAAAAAAAUAAAUUAAAUUGCUUUACGAUUUUUGCAGAACGAAAUUCAGAAGUCUCGUUACCACUAUUUUAUUGGACAAAAUUCAUAAAAUCGCUUGACCCCUCAUUUGUCCUUCCUGAAAUUGAAAACUGGCUAUCAAUUUCAGUCUCACAGACAACAGACAUGCACUACAAGACUUUCAUGGAUAUAUACUAAGGGUUAGUUGAGUCAGCAUUCAAUCAUGUAAAACCCUGAACCGAUAGUAAUUUUGGAUUUAUAAUGUUAUUUCUUAUUUGUUAGUUUUGAUGGGUAUUAGGUUGGCUGCAUCUAUUGCUUUGGAGGAAAAAGAAAAGUUAGUAAAUAAUGCAUCAACUUCUGUUGGGGCUUCCACUAUUGAGGAAGAUGAGUUCAGGUUCUGGGGAGGAGGAAGAAGAAAGUUUCCACUUUACCCUUUUAUAAAAUCUAUAUUCAUUAAUAGCUUUUAAUAUAAAAUUUAUUUAUAAUGCCACGUCAUCAAAUUUAAACGGCCGUUAACAAUUUUUAACGAUAGGAGUUGAAUUGUUUCAAAUUAGCACUUUUAAGGACUCAAUUGGAAAGUUUUAUAAGAACGGAACCAAAAUGGGAAGACCUUACGAAAACAGAGACGCCUAAGUGGUUUUAACCUUUGAUUAUUUUCACCUCAUUCCUGCAUCGAAUUUUUGUCUUGUACUUCUCUUCCUUAACUCUUUUUCGUAAUAAAUCAUCAUUGUUUAAUUACAUUUAUUUGUAAAUAUUUAAUAUAGUUUAGAUGACGGUAGAAGAAAUAAGGUGAAAACCUCGACUUUUAGAAUCCGGUAUUUAUUAAUUAGUGUUUUAAUAUUUAAAAUUAAAAUAAGUUAAAAACGUUGAAUAAAAAAUUACACGAAACUUUGUAAAAGUAUAAAUUAUAUUUUUUAUUAUUAUGUAAACUUGUUAUCAAUUGUUGGAAACGAUUAUAGUGCCACAAUACCGUACACAAAAUUAUUAAUUUGAAAGUAGAACAAUUAUUACUAAUGAUUAAACAUGUACAAAUAUCAUAAAUUAAAUUAAUUAUUUAAAAAAUACAGUUUGUUUUCACUCAUGAAUUCGGUUAUAAUAAAUAAAAAUAGUAAAAAUUGAUAAACUAUUACUACAAUAAUUAAUUAUGAAAAAUUAUAACAUUAAUACUAUUGUACUAUGAAUUAUAACAUCAUUAAUAUUAUUAUAUAAGUUUUAAUAUCAUUAAUAUAAUUAAUAAUAAAUCAUUUAUGAAUUUUAAUAGUGUUCAUUAGAUUUUGAAAUUUUGUAAAAGUGUUCACAUGAUUCAAAACACGAGAGAAAUAAAUACUUGGAAGAAAUAAGAAACAAAUUUUGAAAUCUGAGAAAAAUAAAUAUUUGUACUAUAUGUAAUAUACCGAUCAAAAUUAUUGGUCAUUCAUAGAUAAUUAUCAGGUAUUAAUUAUUGGGUUUAAUUGCUUAAAAUAUAUUGCACUAAUAGUUAAUCAAUGGACUUGGCUGUCACAGGCCCUAUAAAUAUAGAUGUGCAGAUACAAUUAUCUUUUCCUAUUUUUUUUAUCCUAAUUAAAUAUAGAUAGACCUCUUUAUGAAACAUAUCUGACUUGAGCGUCGGUGUCUUCUGCAGGUUAACAACCCAUCGGGGUUGAUUACGUUCUUGAAGAGGAUUGGACCAUCAAAAAAGAACAAAGCAAGGAACGACGACCGACUCUCGGACAAAUUCAUCUGAAACAUUUUGGUGCCCAUCGAGGGGCCGAGCAGCAUUCCCAUGAAGCCACGAAGAACCAGACGUGAGGUUACUUCAAGGGCUGAUGACCGCUCGGUAAUCCGAACGCAAGAUUACCUUGAGAGUGAAGAACCUGAUAACCCGAACGCGAGGUUACCAUAAGAGCGAAGAGCCUGGUAACCCGAACACGAGGUUACCUCAAGGGUUGAACACUAUCUUCAGAGUGGAAGAUCGCUCGGUAACCCGAACGUGAGGUUACCAUAAGAGCAAAGAGUUUGGUAACCUGAACGUGAGGUUACCUUAAGGGUUGAAUCACUCUCUUCAGAAUGGAAGACCGCUCGGUAACCCGAAUGCGAGGUUACCAUAAGAGCGAAGAGCCUGGUAACCCGAACGUGAGGUUACCUCAAGGGCUGAUGACCGCUCGGUAAUCCGAACGCGAGAUUACCUUGAGAGCGAAGAGCCUGGUAACCCAAACCUGAUGUUACCUCAAGGGCUGACGACCGCUCAACGCAGAAAGUUCAAAAAAGAACUCCUAUCAGUCAACUACUCAACAAACCUAGUCCUUUCCCACUCGGACCACCCGUGUUCCGCUUUGUCAGGUUCCAAUGCCUUUUUAUUAUAAAAAUAAAUUACAAAAUAUUAAAAUGUUUAUUUUAAACGCAUAUAUUUUGGAGUGAAAAUCUCUUGCACAGGAAACCGUUCAAAAGAGAACUCCUAGAGUUCGUCGCUUGGUAUAGGGAGUAAUGAAGACUUAAAGCGCAUCAAAGAUAGACUCCCUAAAUACAACGUGAGCGACCUCUUUUAAAGCUCAUAAUAAUCCCUAUGCACCUCUUUCAAAUAAAAGAGCUUGCUUGGGCUUGGGGGACUUAUGUACUAUAUGAAAUAUACGGAUCGGAGUUAAUGGUCAUUCAUGGGCAAUUAUCAGGUAUUAAUGGACCAGAUUGCUUUACGCUUUACAAAUAUAUGACAUUGAUUAUUGAUUAUUGGAUUUGAUUGCUUAAAAAUAUAUUACACUAAUGGUUAAUUAAUGAACUUGACUGUCAUAAGCCCUGUAAAUAUACAUGCAAUUGAUGUUUAGGUACAAUUAUCUUUUCCUAUCUUUUUCUAUCAUAAUUAAAUAUAGACCUCUUUAUGAAACAUAUCUGACUUGAGCGUCAACAAUCCAUCGGGUGGAUUACGUUCUUGAAGAGGAUUGGACCAUCGAAAAAGAACAAAGCAAGGAACAACGACCGACUCUCAGACAAAUUCAACCGAAACAAUAUCAAAUUUCAAAAUCUGAUAGAUUCUUAAACUAAGUUUCCAAAUAUGGUAUAUAUUAAUUAAUGUUUCAAUUUUAUUAAAAAAUUUAACCAUUAUGUCUCAUGUCUCAUUUUCGAGAAUAAAUUAGAUAUUACUAAAUAAAUAUGGUGUAUUUAGUUUUGAUUAUUUUGUUAUUAAAUAUAAAUCAUUUAUGAAUUAUAACACGUACAUAUAUUAUAUUAGUUGUUUCAGUAUAUGGGAUCCGAAACCGAGCUGUCACGUCUCUUUUCACCUCCCGUUCGUCCAACUUUCACAUACAAGAGCUCAUUUCCAGUACCGAACGUUGAUGUCCUGCAAAGGAAAACACUCUGACGCUCAAGUCAGAUAAUGCACCAGGAGGUUAAGCAGGAAUUAUUGUGUUCAAGAUGUCUCAUACCUGACUCUUCAUCUCCUAUUUAUAAACCUCACCUUCAUAAUUAAUGCUAAUAAUUACCACGAAACGUAAUAUCUUCCGUUAUCCUCCCAUCAAUCCUAAUAAAUGCCCCUCAACGUUACCUUACUCCUUGCUCUUAGCAGACCGACCGACUUCCCCCUUCUCUCUGACCACGGACUUAGCUCAAACCGAUCGGCCCAAUCGAUCCCCUACACUACACAAGCCCCCAAAGCCCCGAGCGGCUUUAACAACGAAGGGGUUUUACAGGCCUCUAAAGUGGAAUGCUCGAAGCGGUUUUCUGCCCGGUGGGGAUCGAAGCGUCGCGACACUCCGUCCACACGAUCAAACCUCGAUGUAUGGCUGAGAUACUCUAGCCCGUCAAUCACACAUGUUCAUCGAAGAGUCGCAAUUUCGUGGCCGUAGGAUUCGACCUGUAUCAACGGCGACGAUGCACACCCAAACCGCUUUAUGCGGCUAUAAAAGGUGGAGGGCCCCUUCUCAUUUCCUCCGUUCCUCACUUCCUCCGUUGCUCCUCCCGUCCCUCCUCAACUCCAAGGUAAUGUCUUCCUCUUCGUGGUCCACCGAUGGGUCCGAUAAUGAAGGUCGGGGGUACGCUGAUGGUGCAAUCGCUUCUUCUUCAUUGGAGUCUUCUUCAUCUCACUCCUCUGGUUCUCCCGUUUGUGAGGAAGCCGCUAACGACGAUGUUGAGUUCAACGUAGAUAACUCGUUAGAAUGGAUCGGCAAUGCCCCUCCUCCUAUUGUUCAAGGCUACGAUUGGGCCCCUCACGAGGUUAACGACUACCCUUCGUACUUCAUUUCCACCAACUCCAUAGUACGUCUGUUGGAACGGGUGGACCUGUUGUCCAACCUACGACGAGAUGCUGCCGAUAUAUCCCUAGUAGUAUGUCGUUCCAACGAACAGGCCUGCCACAGUCGGGAAGGGUAUACCCUAGAUUUCUUUUAUGCUUAUGUUACCCUUUUCCGCGACUUGGGUGUACGACUUCCCUUCUCGAAAUUUCAUAUGGGCGUACUUCGAGAGUUAAACAUCUGCCCAGCUCAACUUCACCCGAACGGUUGGGCCUUCAUGCAGGCUUUUGUUGUUCUCUGCACUGGCCUCCUCCUAACUCCUACUCCCGCCUCCUUCCUCUAUUUUUUCCACGUUCGUCCCCACCCCCACAGGUGUUGGAUUUCCCUAGUCCCAGCCAAGGAUAAACAACUCUUCACCUCGUUCAAUUCCUCCUACAAAGACUUUAAAUCCAAUUUUAUCAAGAUAGCCAUAUGAGAUCCCGGCCUGCCCAAAUUUUUCUUUGGGGAUAACCGGCCCAAAUUUCCCCUCUACUGGACAGAAGAGCCUAAACGAGUGAUCUCCUGGGCUGAAUCUGAGAUGACUGAAGCCGAAUUAGAAGUAAUUCGCCAAAUCGAUGAGCUACCCCGGAAGACCCCUUCUCGCCAACUCAUCGACCUCCUCGGGACUAACACUCUACGCGCUAGGGUGUUGGGUAAGCUUUCCUUUAUUUUCCUUCUCGAUCAGUCAAUAUUAACUUGCUAAAUUUGUUUCAUCUUUGCAGACUUCUUUGGCGGAAUGGAGAAACACCAAGCUUUCGCUCGCGCCCUAGCUCGCAAGAACAAACGAAGUGGCGACACUACACUCCCUUCCUCCAACACUAUCGCCCACUCCAUUAAUGUCGCUUUGAAGAUUCAUGAUCUGAGCGAUGACCCGAAACCGGUCGUCCCUGCCCCUGUGACCAAAACCAAGGGAAAAAGGAAGCAACCCUACGAGAAGACCCCUCUCCUUCCAAGAAGAGAAGGAACUUGGGUCUUCUCCUUUCUGGCCCUCCGGAUCCGAACGUCCACGUAUCCGACUGCCUCCAAUUCAACCUUUCCCCCAAAGAAAGAGAACCCUUCAAAACCAUGACCCCUACAGAAUAUUUGGAUAUGGCCUACGAGCUACUAGCUCGGGCCAGCAUCUGCCUGAAUUAUUCUGUUGGAACCACCAAACCGCUCCUUGUGUCAGAGCUUGAGAAUGCCAACAAGAGUUUGGCCACAGCAAAGAAAGAGAUUUCCAUCCUCACCGAACGCCUCGAAAAGGCUAAUAAACUUGCAGAGGACGAUCGGGUUAAAGCUGCUGCCACACUCCUUGAAUCUAAAAAUGAAGUUAAGCGUCUUCAGUAGUUCGUUGAUUCCCUGACCCUAUCCUUACAACAAUCUUCCUCCCAAGUCAAACAAAUCACCGAAGAGAGGGAUUUCGCCCUUGCUGACCGGGACAGAUUGACCUCUGAGUACUCAGCUCUAGAGGAUGAAAUCUGUGAAGAACGCCAACGCGGAUUCGAGCAAGGGAUCGCACAGUGCCACUACUUCUUUCAGACUCCCUUGGAGCACGAUGGUUUCAACAUUAUGAAGAUCUUUGUGGACGGUCAGCUUGUCGAUAUCUCCGCCCCACCUCCUUCACGAGUUGAAUCUAAUACCGACCAGGCUAUUCCUUAGGUUCCUCAAAACGUCCAGGUCGCUUCGGAAGCUACUACAUUUGUCCUUCCCUCAAGCGACCCUACCACCACUUAGCUAGCUUCAUUUUACUUGUAUUUCUCUUUUGGUGUACUUCAUUUUAUUUUCUUCGCACCUAUGUAACACAAACUUUUAAUUGCCAACUUUCUUGCACUUUAAUUUUACAGUUGUUAAUGUCUCCUCCUUUUGAUAGUCGCAUUAUAUACUUAUAAUAUUGUUUUAAUCCUUGUCCGCUCGUCCAACUCUUCUUACAUAGCGAAAUUCCAAGAUUUUUCUGAUUUCCCGCAUUCGGCUAAAUUGAAAAAUCUCUUUCCCGAUUUUCUUCUCUUAACCGAUGGGCAGUCAUUUUCCUGACUAUGCCCAAACAUCCACCCUCCCAACUCCUGGUGAAAAUCAUUUUCCUGAUUUUCUCGCGUUCGGCUAAAGCGAAAAUCAUUUUCCUGAUUUUCAUCCUUUAGCUGAUGGGCAGUCAUUUUCCUGAUUAUGCCUGAUGAUGGGUGUCGCCACCCAAUCAAAUUUAAUUGCAUAUUAGGAAUGCAGUAUAGCUAGGGAGUGACCCCUAGGUCGUCUCUCAAGGACCAACUACGGUUCAGAAUCAGGUCUAACACAGUGUAGGGGGGUUUUGAAAAGGUUUCACCAUGCAUGAAAAUGAAAUUAGAACAGUAAAAACGAAAAUUCACGCUGGAAUUAGGCAGCUCUGACCUUUGCUCAAUGUUUUAACCAUAACUUUUUCUACAGAGCUCUAAAUGAGAUGAGGUUUUUUUUUCCUGGAAAGUAGACUCAAUUAUCUUUCAUUUGAUAUAUAAAAUGUAGCAUUUGGAGCUCUGGUGUGGUUGCAGUAAUUUUUUUAAAAUCGAGUCCAGAGAGUGAAAAUGCUAAAUCAAAUACUAGACUAAACAAAUAUUUAAACACAGUUAAAUUAAAUUAAAUGCAAAACUAAAUUAAAGAAAUUAAAAACAACUAAUCCUACAAUACAAACUAAUUUAAAGCUAAGAAAGAUAAGCAACAUAUUAUUUUUUUUUAUCUAUCAUUCACGUGACAUCACGUGCCUUGCAAUUGAAAAUUGGAUGUUCCCUAGAAUUAAAUUAGCUUGUUGCAUCGUCUUGCUUCCUUUUCAAAAAUAAAAUAAACCUCCAAACGUCCCAUCUAGUUGUCACCGUGAUUGCUCUUAUCUAAUACAAAGUAAAAGCUUGGUCUAAAGAAAGUAAAUCCCUAGAAAAGUUAACCACCGAGCCUCAGCCUAAAAUCAAAUGAGUGUGUGCUUUUGCAUAAGCAAAGUAAAUUGAAAGAAAAUGUUCCAACAUUCAAUCACCGCAUGUGUCCCCUUCCUAUUUAAUAAUAAAACAAACUUUAAAGAAAUGUGGGUGGUGGCUGCACAUUUCUUCCAAUUGCAAAUGAAAAAAAAAAGAAACUUUAUGCCAUCAUAGAAUAUCACGGUGCACACACUUCUUCAAUAAAAAGCUAAAAAUAAAGAAAAUGUUUCUUCCUCAUUCCCAAGGCUUUCUAUAAUUGAAAUCUGCACUCCUCCUAUGCUAAACAGGAAAUUGCUGGAAUAAUAAAAAGAAACAUUAAAUGCAAAAAGUGCUAAAUGAAAUGAAAAGGACGAGAGUAAAUAACCAGGAGCUUUUCAUUCCUCAAGUGUAACAGCGUGUGUACCAGUUUUUUAAUAAACCAAAAUCCAAAAAUUCCAUCAUCCUCCCAAGAAGCUAUGCAUGAAAAACGUUAAAAAAAACUCCUCUUAAAAACGUUGCAGAAUGCCGAGAGUCCUCCUUAGCACAAGUGACGGCUGGAAGGGGAUUGUUGGAAUCCCUAGGGCCAAGUGUCUUCAUAAAAAUGGGUGGGGUCCAUCCUAAAAAAAUAAAACCCUAGGGUGACAAGUGUCCUACAAUUUUUGGGCUUCUCAUAAUUUUUUUUUAAUAAUGGCCCAAUGUGCAAAUGUUUGUCCACAAAGUUUAAAAAAUUAAAAUUAAAAUACAAUAAAAUUUAAAAUGUCUAAUUUGAGAGUCUUGAAUUUAUUUUGUCUCCUCCAAAUGUCCCAAAUUGAGUUUCCAAAAUUCUCCCUGAAAAUAAUAAUGCAAAUAAUUAGCUUAGAAAAUUCAAAUUAAUUAAAAUUAGAAUUUCUGGUCAAAUUAAGCAUAUUUAGGAAAAACGGAAAAAUACCGGACAAUUAAGCACAAUUCCCUGAUUAAUUCUAGCACAAUAAACUAAGUGAAAUCAAUAAAAUAUCGGCUCAUCACCUGAACGUCUACCCUUCCAACUCCUGGUGAAAAUCAUUUUCCUGAUUUUCUCGCGUUCGGCUAAAGCGAAAAUCAUUUUCCUGAUUUUCAUCCUUUAACGGAUGGGUAGUCAUUUUCCUGACUAUGCCCGAACGUCUACCCUUCCAACUCUUGGUGAAAAUCAUUUUCCUGAUUUUCUCGCGUUCGGCUAAAGCAAAAAUCAUUUUCCUGAUUUUCUCGCGUUCGGCUAAAGCGAAAAUCGUUUUCCUGAUUUUUCAUCCUUUAGCGGAUGGGUAGUCAUUUUCCUGACUAUGCCCGAACGUCUACCCUUCCAACUCUUGGUGAAAAUUAUUUUCCUGAUUUUCUCGCGUUCGGCUAAAGCGAAAAUCAUUUUCCUGAUUUUUAUCCUUUAGCGGAUGGGCAGUCAUUUUCCUGACUAUGCCUGAACGUCUACCCUUCCAAAUCCUGGUGAAAAUCAUUUUCCUGAUUUUCUUGCGUUCGGCUAAAGCGAAAAUCAUUUUCCUGAUUUUCAUAGUGAACGUCUACCCACCUUCUCCUCAGAGUUGCUUCUCCUACCUCGACUGACAUCAUCGUGUCUGUUCUGUAAGUCAAGUUAAAUGGUGAUUCCCCCGUCGCGUCGUGCGGCGAACAACGAUAUCCCCACAAGACCAGUGGUAACUCAUCAACCCACGCCCCCUUUGCUUCGCCCAUCCUCUUCUUUAAUUCUUGAAUAAUAAUUUUAUUCACGGCCUCGGCCUGACCGCUCGUCUGUGGAUGCUCGACAGAACUCGUGACCGAAGUUAUCCCCCACUCUUGAUAGAAGGUCACCAGCUUUCUAUCCACAAAUUGUCGAUCAUUGUCAGUAACAAUUACCUUCGACAACCUAAAUCGGCAAAUUAUCUUCCACACAAACUUCUAGACCUGAGCGGCUGAAUUUUUGGCUAAAGGCUCGGCCUCCACGAGUAAUACAACAGGUGACGGAUCCAGGAGUAAUACAACAACACCAAUCCCUUGCCGCUCCAUGUAAUGAGUACUCAAAUGCCCUUAAGAACAUGUCCUCAUCCGGGACAUCUGGAGGUUUCAUUGAAGAGCAUAUGGUGUAGAACUCCUCCAAAUGUCUAUAUGGGCAUUCACCUGCAAAACCAUGAAACCUAGGCAGCAAAUUUAUCAGUCCAGUGUUGAAAACACAACGCAUAUCCUCCUCAUCAAGUGGAAACGGCUCCCUAAGAGAACUCUCAUGAGAUGGAGGAGGAACCGUUAUGUUCUCAACAUAGAAAUCAGCAGAGUAUAUAUGAGAACCAUACUCAAAGUCAGAUGCAGAAGGAGAAUCAUAAUCAUAGACACAGGCAGAAGAAGCAGUGUUCACAAAAUCAAAGUAGGUAGACAUGUAGAAGGAAGGGGGAAAAAUGCAAUGAAAAUAUGCAACUAAAUGCAACACACAAUGACGAACACACAAAACAGAACAUCACACUCACAACACAAGACAAGACACAAUACACACUAACACAACAAAGACCUAAAACCGAACCGUUGGUCCCCGGCAACGACGCCAAAAUUUGAUGGGUGUCGCGGCCCAUACAAAUUUGAUUGCAUAUUAGAAAUGCAGUAUAGCUAGGAAGUGACUCCUAGGUCGUCUCACAAGGACCAACUGCGGUUCGAGAAUCAGGUUAAACGCAAACAGUGGGGGGGGGUGUUUGAAGGUGUCGUUGUGAAUGCAAUAUGAUGAAAUUAAAAAUUAAAAUUAAACACAACAGAAUACAAUUUAAAACAUUAAAGUACAUGACAAUAUUAACUAAAAUUAAAUACACACUAAAACUAAAGAAAGGAAAUGUUAUUCAUCAUGGAAUCAACAUUUAAAAGAAAAAUAAGUAAACCAAGAUAAUUGAGCAAAAUACUUCUCUAAAAUAGGAUUCAAUUAAAAAGCUUAAAAUUCCUCCAAAUUAAAUCACCACUUGCAGCAUAUCCCCAGCUCCUCCUUUUCUUCAUUGAAAUCCACGCUGAUUUCUUUUGUAAAAACAAAUUAAAUGGUGAUGAUAAUCCAUUCUCCCGGACUCGGCAGCGGGACGUGUCCAUGCUUUCAAUUAAAAGGAAUACUUCUUCAAAACUUCUUUCCCAGGUCGAUAGCUCCAAUUUUUGCCAUCAAUCCACGCCUAAUUUUCUCUCAAUGCAAAGUUAAAAGUGAAAUAAACAAUGCUUAAAACUUCCUCCAUGUCGUACCAUUUCUUCACAGACGUGAACAAUUAACUUCUCCAAGAAAAUUAAAAUUGGCUUCCAAUUCUAGAAUAAGAAUCACCGUGAAUAUUGCUGCAUCAAUCAUCAAGCACCUUAUCCGUACAUUGCUUCUGGAAGAAAAAUUGAUAAAAGCUCCACAAAAUAAAUCCUAGCUACCACCAAUUCCAAUCCAAUCAUCUAACUACUAUUCAAUCCAUAAAAUUCAAAUAAAUGCUAGCACAACCUUAGCAGGUCCGUGACAGCAGCUCACACUUCUCCGUACACUAUGCUUCAAUCAAAGGAAAUUAAAACAAAUAGAAAACAGUGCAGCACUUAAAACAAGGUGAAAAGGUAAAAUGUGCUCUCAUUCAUUGAUGUAAUAAAAUCAUGAACCACAUCCCAUUGUUAAAGAACCGUGAGCAAAACAUGUGUGUGCAAGCCAAAUAUCUCCAAAUAAAAAAAUGACGGCUGUCUUUUCAAAAUAAAAUACCAAGAAUCUCUUUUAGCCAAAAUCCAAAUAUAGUAUCAACAUUGUUCUUUUGAAACGUUGCAGCCCUUCCAAAUGCCAAGUCUCUCUUUUUUUUUUUCUUUAGUUGCCGAUAGGUGAUAAUCCAAGUCUGCAGCCAAAUUCUACUUAAAACCAAAGUGACGGCUGCAGCCCUUAGCAAGGGACAUGUGUCUUCAAAUUUUAGGAUGGGGUCCACCCUAAAGAAACCUUAAAGUGCCAAAUCAUCCUACUCCACAAUUGGACUUAGUCUACACUACCAAAAAUUGACCCAAAAUUACAAAACUUGGUUUAAAAAAAAACUUAAUCUACUAAAUUAAAAUUUAAUUAAUUCUAAAUUGUCUUUGUGGAGAGUCUUGAAUUUAUUUUGUCUCCUCCAAAUGUCCCAAAUUGUGUUUCCAAAAUUUUCCCUGAAAAUAAUAAUGCAAAUAAUUAGCUCAGAAUAUUCAAAUUAAUUAAAAUUAGAAUUUCCGGUCAAAUUAAGCACUAUUAGGAAAAACGGGAAAAUACCAGACAAUUAAGCAUAAUUCCCUGAUUAAUUCUAGCACAAUAAACUAAGUGAAGUCGAGAAAAUAGUGACUCAUCAAAAACCCCUUCGGUACAAAUCGUCACCCACAAGGCAAUAUCGAACGAUCCUCUUCACAUCUUCGGCGCCAAGGACUUCCCCCCCUCCUGCCUCCGAAUCAGCUGGAUAAUCUCAUCCUUCCAAGUGUUUUGUGAUCCUGCAGUAGUAACGUUGAAACAUUCUACUAUUGGCUUCGUCAUCACCUGUCUGAUCACUGUAGACAAUCCCCCCCUUCGCAUUUCCGCUUGCCAAUUUGGACAAUAUAUCCGCUCGAUUGUUUUUCGACCGAGGAACAUGUCGCAAUCGAAAGCUCUUAAAACAUGUCGCUAAUCGCUUUGCCUUGUGGAAAUAUUGCAAUAGGUGAUUGUCUUUCACCUGAAAGUUUUCGUUCAUCUGCCCUUCGACCAACCGGGAAUCGGUUUGACACUCUAGCAAGCUUGCCCCCAAAUCUCGUGCCAACUCCAUUCCUGCCAGCAAAGCCUCAUACUCUGCCUGAUUGUUACUAACCUUGAACUGAAACACCAAAGACUGCUCAAUCAGUACCCCGCUCGGGCCUUCUAAAACCACUCAUGCUCCUCCUCCCUGCUUGUUAGAGGACCUACCUACCGAAAGUUGCCAACAAAAUUCCUCCUUCUCCCCUGGUAAGUCAGCCGCAAAAUCUGCAAGAUGUUGGCCCCAAAACGACCCCUUCGGUUCGUACCUCAGCCCAAAUUCAAAUAAUUCUAUCGACCACCCGAUCAUCCUACCUGCUAAGUCAGGCUUUCGCAAUAUCUUGGCUAUCGGGUAAUCCGUCCCAACAACCACUUGGUGUCCCUGAAAAUAAGGUCUUAGACGCCGAGCGGCAUAAACCAGAGACAGGGCCACAUUCUCUAACUGCUGGUACCGAAGCUCUGCCUCCUUGAGGCUUCUGCUGACAAAAUAAACCAACUUGAAAUAGGGGGUCUCUUGAAUUGGCGCAGCACUAAUAGCCUCCUCUGUAGCAGCUAAAAAGACCUGAAGAUCAUGCCCCACUUCCGGUCGGCCCAUCACCGAAGGUCGAGUGAGAAUCUCCUUCACCUCCCUGAAAGCCUCUUCAUUCUCCUUGUCCCAACACUCCUGUGUUGUUCUCUUCAUUGUUCUCAGGAUUGGCUUUAUGUGCUCGGCCAAAUGAGGGAUGAACCGAGACAAGGAAGUCAAACGCCCCACCAACCUCUGAACCUCCUUCACCGACUGGGGACUCCUCAUUUCCAAAACUGCCUUGCACUUAUCGAGAUUCACUUCAAUUCCCCUUAAAGUCAACAUAAACCCUAGAAAUUUCCCUGCCCGAACCCCAAAAGUACACUUGAAGGAGUUAAGCCGCAUAUCAAACUUUCUAACUUGUCCCAAGACCUCCUCCACAUAUAAAAUAGUUUCACACCAGAAUGAUAAAUCUUCUUAACAGUCACAAAACUAUCUCUGCAAGUAGUGAUAGCGACCUAACAACUACGUGUUUAUAAAAUUUUCAAGUUCAAUUCCAAUUUGUGGCCAAUUUGAAUUUACUUUACCAGCAUGUAUGAUUUUGAGGGAAAAAAAGAAAACAAAGAGAAUAAGAAAUUCUAACAUUCUCAUCAAUAACAUUACAAAAUGAAAAUUAAGCACAAUUUAAUUUAUAUAAGGCAUAUGGUAAAAUUAUACCAUUAGAGGAGACAGAUUUAGUAUAAAAAAAUAUACUUUGGAUAUAGAAGUUAUUGUCUUCUAUGUAUACUUAUUUUAAUUUUAAAAAAUAUAUAUUUAAAUCAUAAAAUAAAAAAAUUAAUGACAAUAAAAUAAAUUCACUUUAUAUAUAUAUAUAUAUAUAUAUAUAUAUAUAAUUAAAAUAAUAUAACAUUGAGAUAUUUUAAAUUUGAAUCUCUAUUAUUAUUUAUUUGUGAAAACAUUUAUUAUUGUUCAAAUUUUUAUGAUAAUUAAAAAUAAUGAAAUUAUUAUUAAUAUUAAUAUCAAAUUAAAUAUAAAUAAUAUCUAUAAAAAUAUCAAAUUAAAGAAUGUUUAAAUUUUAAAAAAAUAUCAAAUUGAAAAUUUUAAAUAAACGAUUAUUAAAAAUAUCUAGUUAAAGUAUAUUUUCACCGGACAAUAUGUUAGUUUAAACUUUAAAAACAUAAAUGAAAUAGGAAAUGAACAAUAAUAGUGAAAGAAAUUUGGUGAUUUAAAGAUUAUAAAAUUAAAACUAAUAGUAUAUCUAUAUAUAUAUAUAUAUAUAUAUAUAUAUAUAUAUAUAUAUAUAUAUAUAUAUAUAUAUAUAUAUAUAUAUAUAUAUAUAUUAUGCUAUAACUUUUUCAAAUAUUCGAUAUUAUUGGGUUAGAGAAAUAAAAAAAUGUUUGAAAUAUGAAAUCUUCCUUAACACCAUGGUUAAUAAGUCUCAAGAAUAGGAAGAACUACUAUAGUCAUUAUUUUAAUAUCAUUUUAUCGUAUCAUGUCUAUUAGAUUUAUACAAUUGAUUUUAUUACGUUUAAUACCUAUUUUGGUUCAUUAGUUUAUAGAAUAUGUUUAAAGUUGUCCUCUUUUUUUUCAAAAAUUCAACAUCGUCCUAUAUUUUGCAAAAAACCGUUCAAGUUAGCCCUUUUUGCUUAAAAAAGCUAACAACAGAAUAGCCUCAUUGACAAAAACUUGAUGACUUAUACAAAUUAUUGUUGACGUGACACUGUGAGGUAAUUUGAGACCAAUGAGAAGAUGCCACGUGGCAGAUCUCUUUCCACACAAAGUUAGGGUUUCACAAUUGUAGACUGGGCAAGGGCUUUCUCUGCAUCGUCAUGAGAACUAGAGGAUCUACCACGAAUUGUCGUGGAGGCACGAUUUAGGUAUUCACAACAGGGGCGCGAUUGUUGUGCAAAGGAGAACGCCAUGAUACUAUGAUUUGGUCCUCGCAGUAAAUGAGUUUAUGGUUCUAUUUUGGAUGCAGGUUUAUGGCGACACUUGCGAGGAGAAUGGGUUUCAUGCAUUUGCAGGUUGCACGAGAACGAUGAACUUGCGAAGAAGAUGCGAUAUAGGGUUUCUAUUUUUGGAUUUUUGUGUUUAAUUUCGCUCUCACUUUUUAACAGAGCAAGGAAAGAGGGUCUUGUGUUUUUCUCUAUAGUUAGUGUCUUGAUUCCCCAUUAUUCUCCUGUUUUCACUGUGCUGUAGGUUGUGGCAACUGUUCUCACAACCAUGCAGCUACUUGUCUAGAAAAUCUUUGCAGACUGGAUCUGCUUACCCUUGUUGUUAAAGUAAAUCUUAGAAACAAUACCCUCCAUUUAGGUGGGGGCAGUAGUUCUUUAUAGGAGCUUGGCAGUUGGUUGUUGUAAAAGGAUUUCUCCUCUAUAAUUUUGUUCUUUACAUAAACAAUACCCAUAAUUUUCUUCAUUUCAUUUAAUGAUUUAUGUGUUAUUACCUAUACCACUUCUUGAUUGCAUCAAACUUUUCCCAUUUAUUGGAUUUGUUGAGAGGGGAAGUCUAGAGGAAAGGGAUCAAAAUUUUAGGAAAGGGGUAGAUGAAGGUCACAUUAGAAAAUGGAUGCUAAGAUUGCCAUUCUGGAGAAUGAAAUGACAAAUCAAGACAACUUUAGCAACAAUGUUGUUGAUGGUGGAAGAAAAUCAGAAGAAAUUGGUGUCAAUGCUGGAAAAGAAGAAAAUAGAUGUUGUAAUUGUGAAACCCCCUCACAGUGCCACGUCAAUAAUAAUAAUAAUAUAAGUCAUCAAGUUUUUGCCAAGAAGACAAGUUUGUCUUUAGCUUUUUUAACAUAGUAAGCAAAAGAGAUUAACAUGAACCGUUUUCGCAAAAUAUAAGAUGUUAGUGAAUUUUUGAAAAAAAAAAAGAACUUUAAAUAUAUCUUACAAACCGAAAAAUCAAAAUAGGUAUUAAAUUAUUUUAUUAUUAAAUUAAAAUAUUAUUAUGUAUUGUUAAUCAAUCAAAUUUCUGGGUAACAGAUGUUUUUUUAGUUUUUUAUUUAUUUUUGUUAUGUAACUGAUUUUAGUAAAGUUUAUAAUUUUGUAAAAUUAUUUCAUUUUCAUUUCCUACAGUACUUUAAUUAUGAUUUUGAAAACAUCAUUUCAGGAAUAACAUUUAAUAACAAAUUUAUCCAAUUAAAGAAAAGAAAGAGGGUGAAAAUUGAAAAAAAAAAGUAUAAGAAAGAGAAAGAGAAAAAAGAAAGUAUAAGAAAGAGAAAGAGGUGAGUCUAAGUUAGGCAAAGGAAUAUAAGAAAGAAAAAAGAGAAGUGACAGUCUUUUUUUCCACGUCACCACGAGUACAAACACAACAUUUUCAGUGACCAAGUAAACAAAUGAGUUUUUUUUUUUUUGUAAUAUUACUUUUAUUUUCUUUUCAUUUCCAAUACUAUUAGUGAAAAAAUAUAAACAUUAUGAAUACAAUUCAAUAAAUUAUAAUAUUUCUUUUUUGAAAAUGAAUUCGCUCAACAUUUAAAAAUAUUACAGUGAAUUUUAAAAAAUGUAUAAUUUUUAUAUUCAUAUUACUUUUAAAUGACAAAAUAACUUGUAAAGAAUUUAUUUAUUUUACUAUUAUUAAUGCUUAUUAUGAAAUUAGUACUUAAAAUACACACAGACAAUAAAUAUUUUGUGCAUAAUGCCAAAUGGUUCCAGUCUACUUCUACCAAAAGCUCCAUUUCUACACCCUACAUUUUCCUUCUUCUCGGUCGCUUUCGAUGCUAAAUAUUCCAUUUCAAAUUCAGGAGAUAUGUCCAACUGAAAAUUUUCAACAAAAUUUGCAUUGGUAACCUGAUCCCACUAUUUCAAGAACUAAGAUUUAGAAGGCAACCAAAGAUAAGAAUAAAGUAACCUACCUGAUCGACCAAUCCACAUCUACCAAAAUUUUUGCAACGCAAAUGCCAUAAACAAAAAUAAAUCAAGAGUUUGUUAGUUAUUGUAACCCUGCCUUCCAAAUCUCUACCAUCUGCAUUAGUGCUAUUCUGAGAAGCCGACGACAGGACAGUCUUAUUUUGAGAACAAAAUACUAAAAUUAUUAAUUUAAAUUAAUUACUCCAACUCUUUCUUCCAUAUGGAUACUGCUAUGCAAUAAAUGUAUGAGAUUGAAGCCAUGAUUUAAUUGCCUUCGGAUUGCCGUAGGAUUUAUCAGAGUUUGAAAAUAAAUGUAUCCUCUAGGCUAUAAUAUAAUUCGGUCCCGACCUAAACAAACUGUACUCAGAUUCAAAAAUACAUGCCUUGCUACUUAUGACAUCUUUCCUUCCGAAAAAUCAACAUAUAUCUUCUAGCAAUGCACCAUAUUAUGCUAAAAGACUCCAAGAUAAAGCAAAAAACACGUAAUUAUAAUCUUUUGGUUUCCCACAAAAAUAUCCAUGAAACUAUAUGAUGAGUGUUUAGUUUUAUCACUUUUCAAACUACUGGUACCAAACAGUAACUUAGUUUUAACCCAAAGUUUAAGUAUUAAAUGAGUAUUGAACCUGAAAUUUUAUUAUGAGAAAGUUGCAAAAAUGCUAAUUUGGGCAACUUCUCUAAUUUUUCGGGUAUGUGACCUUCUAUUUGGUUAGAAUCAAGGAAGAGAUAUGUCAAAUUAUACAAUCGACCUAAAGUAGGAGGAAUUGAACCUUCGUGAGUGAGAAAAAGAUAUUCAUAUUCUCCUAUAUUGACAAGAAAAAGAUGAGUAAAUUACAUGAGAAAUAUAAUGUUACCUUCAAGUUUGUUUGAAUCCAGAUAAAGAGUUUCCAAGUUCACCAGUUGAGCAAAAGUAGAUGGGAUUGAACCCGUUAGUGAAUUAUUAGAGAGAUCAAAUACAACUACAGUUGUUUGAUGAAGGAAUCCUCAAGGAACCUCUAACAAUAUCACUAACACUUCCAGCUUCAUUGCAGGAGAUACCCUCCCAAUAACAAUGGUCUGAGAUAUUUGAGUCAUCAUUCUGUGGAGCAAAGUCUGUCUUUCCUGAUUAAAUGAUGAGAAAAUGGAAGAGGUAGACAUGAUGACACCAAUCACAGAUGAUAGCUCAACCAUCAUAUAGAAGGCCAUAACUCGUAAACUACAAACACAGUUAGCCAUACUUGAUUGGUUCAGAUUCAAAUGCCUCCGAUAACUAAUCAGUUAUUUUUGUUAUAAUGCAAUUGACAAUUAGGUUUCUUAGUUGGAUAUAGAAGAUCAUGAAGAAAUCAGGGAGGAUGUUAAAAUGAUAUCAGGGAACGCUCCAAUUAUUUUCUCCAAGGUUGAUGAAGACUUUGCACAAAGAGGACUUAACCUCAACAGUUAUUGCCACUGAUCUAUUUGACUUUUUGAUUACUUUGGUUUCCAACUCUGUAGGCCAUGCACUUGGUGCUACCACCGUUGUCAAGGAGGUUGAAACUAUAGAUUAGUCUUCAGCAACCUUAACUCAACAGCAAAUACAAUAUUUGAGUUUUAUAUAUGGCUAUAUAAUUAAUCUAAGAACUUUAUCAUUGUAAUUAUGUAAUUUCUACAUAUAUAACUAAGUAAGAACUUUAUCAGCUGGUUAUGUAUAAUCAUACUUGAAUGAAAGGAAGUUGUACCAUGGUCCUUCAUACACAAAAGAAGUGGUAUAUCUCUAGUUCUUUUAGACUUCAGCUUGAUCAUCUCCAUGUUAUGAUAUGAGAUAAUAGGUUGCAUAAUGUUCUUACAGCGAAGGUUUUAAGGAGGAAGAAACCAAAGUAUAUCGGAAAUAAAAAUAUACCAGGAAAUUUUCCAAAUAACUCUUGUCAGAACAACAUGGAGAAAUAAUUCAAAUUCUAUGAACAAAAAGAAAAAGAAGAGGCACACUCAUCUAGCAAAUAUCUUUUUCAGAUUUCCAAAUUCUACCGGUAUAUGACCAGAAAUUUUGUUGUUUUGAAAGUACAAAAUAGUCUAGUUCUCUUGUUGGCCCAAUGCAGAAGGGAUUGAAUUUGUGAGUAAAUUAUUUGAUAGAUGUAAUUCCAUUAAUUGUGUCAAAUUUCCAAGUUAUAUAUCUGCAAAUUGGUUUCAAUCAACAUAAAAUCUGCCCACAUUCUUCAAUAGACCUAAUGUAGAAUGGAUUGACAACCUAAACCGACUCAAGAGAGGUUACAACCUAAACCAACUCAUCUAAUACAAAAUUUACAAAUCAUUCAUGCACAUUCUAUGGCAAACACUUUGUUAUUCAAAUAAGGUGUUACCUUACAUCAUUUCAUCAAGUCUCUGGAGAUCAUUUCGUAAAAAAAUUUCUCUGCCUUUUCAGUCUCGUUGUUCUUAAACAGAUCAGAGAUGAUUAUUUCAAAAGUCCUAACAUCAGAUAAACAACCACUUUCUUCCAUUUUGGACCACAAGGUCAAUGCCUCAUUAAACAAACCCUCCUUACAAAGACCACUGAUCAUAAUAGUAUAAGUAUGGAUGGUGGGAUUGUGACCUUUAUUCAGUAGAUCUUGAAAAAUCUCUUGUGUAUUCUUAAGUCUCCCCUCUCUGCACAUCCCAUGGAUAAGUAUAUUUGCAGUGUACAUAUCAGGCUGAAGUCCAUUCUCUCUCAUUUUCCUCAAUAAUUCAAUUGCCUUGUCUAGAUGAUGAUCUUUGCAUAAAGCAUCCAUCAAGGAACUAUAAGUGAUUACAUCUGCUUGUUGAUUUCUACCAUGCAUCUCAUGAAAAAGAUCCCAAGCAUCAGAUAUUCUUCCAGUUUUGCAUAAACCAUCAAUAAGAGUAUUAUAAGUCACUGUAUUUGGAACCAUAUUAAUGUUGUGCAUUUCCUGAAAGAGAUUUAUGGCAUCAUCCAUCCUUCCUUUUCUUGUGAGUCCAUUUAUCAUAAUAGUGUACGUCCUAACAUCAGGACUCACUCCCAUGUGAGUCAUUGCAUUGAAUACUUGUUUCGCAUUCUUCACUUUAUUAACUAAAUAAUACCCAUCCAUUAGUGCACUAAAGCUAAUAACAUCAGGUUUCACAUAAGCUUUCACCAUCACACCUAACACAUUCUUGGCUUCUCUUAGCUUUCAUUCCUUACACAAUGCAUCAAUCAAUAUAUUAUAGGUAUAAACAUUUGGCCUGAUGCUAUUUGAUACCAUUUCAUUUAGGAAACCGAAUGCUACCUCUACCUGUCCUACUAAGCAAAAGCCAUAAAUUAGAGUAUUAUAAGUAAAAAGAUUAAGAGAAAUUCCCUUGAUAACCAUCUCAGAAUACAGACCAUAAGCUUCUUCCGGAUGAUUCUCUUUUAAUAAAGAGUCAAUAAUAAUGGUGUACAUUACGGUUGAUCGACCUUGAAUCUUUCUGAACAAUUCGAUGGCGGCUUUAGUUUCUCCUAUUUUGCUCAAUCCAUUAAUGAGAGUCUCGUAAGUAAAUUCGUUGAGCCGAAAUCCUAGUGCUAUUACUUUAUCGUGAAGGUUGAGGGCUUCCUUAACCUUACCCUUAUCACAGAAACCUCUCUUGAGUGUAGUUAAGGUUAUGGCAUCUGGAUGAUAACCCCGUUUGAGAAUCUUGGCAAAUACAGAGAAAGCUAAAGGCAAUUUGCCUAAGUGACAGAAACAAUUGAUGAGGAGGCUGAGAUUAGCAAGGUCACAGAGAAUUCCCUUAAACUCCAUUUGCUUAAUGAGAGAAAUGGCAGUAGGGUACCGCUUCAUCCUCACAAGAAAUCCCAAAAUCUUUCCAAAUUCCAAGAUGGGAGGAACAUGACGCUCACGAAGCAAGCGAUUGAAUUGUGAGACGGCUUCGUCGUGUAAGGAAGUUUGAGAGUGAGAGUGAGAGCAAAGGAGGGAAUUGUGGAUUGGAAGAAAAGGAGGAAACUUGGCAAUGGAAGGAAGAAGAGAAACCCUAAUACUUCUUGAGAGCCACAUCUUUGCUGCAGACAACAAUAGUAUUGAAUUCUUCAA
rnacentral:lncRNA from 1 species